rnacentral:lncRNA from 1 species
UUUUCAUUUCUUUCUUAUUUUGCAAGUAAUGUGUGUUUUUAUCAAGAAAUAAAGUACAAAGUAUCUUUAAAAAUGUGUCAUAAUUCUUGGCUUGAAUGUGUCCUAUUUGUUCUCACAUUAUAGCUCAAAAUCAAACCCCUUUAACAUUGCUAUGAUGAGAGGAGUAUAGGUCGUGUGCAUGUCUAAGUGUUAUAACCAAUUUUAGGUAUGUUUUGCCAUUUUAUUUCAUUUCAUUGCUCUUUUUUUUCUUGCUAUUCUAUUCAAUUUUGUUUACCUUUUUACCAUUUUUAUGCCUUAUGAUACUAACCAUUUCAUUUCAUAUUUCAUCCAUCUCAUAGUUUAGACAUUAUUUUUUUUCUAUUCAUUUCUAUAUCAAAUGGGUUUGUAAUAAUUUUAGGUAGAUUAGUUUCCUUUUAAUUCCUUGCAAGACCAUAGCAUGUAUUUAGGACUCAAUGUAAAGGACUAUGGACACUAUAAGUGAUGUACACCGACACGAGCACCGACACAUGCACACACCCCACAUGGAUGUUCUAGAUGCAUGAUUAGGGAAUGUAUGUUUAGAUGUAUGCUUAGGUUUUAGAACGCUUAGACAAAAUUUAUUUUCCAAAAAAAGUGUGAAUAACCUCACUUGAAAACUUUUUUUUCUAAAAUAGGAGUCAAAACUCCUCAUUUUCCUUUUGUUUUCUUAAGUAAAAAACCUAAUAAAUUUUAAUCAUACUUAGACUUUAUUUUGCAAAAUAACUACUUCCACCUCACAUUUUCCAAAUCUCAUGCCCUUGAGGCCUCUCAUUUCCAUUCUUCAAAAUUCCUUUUUCAAACUUAAAAUCAACCAACAAAAAACAAAAAUAAUUUUCGAGAAUGAACUACGUUUGGUUUUGAUCCCUUAAAAGGGUACGUAGGCAAUGAGUUAAAACUCCUCCAAGCCAAGUAAAAUAAAAUCUCAAUCAUCUUCUUUCCCCAUUCUUCACUCAAAUAAAACCUUUUUUUAAUAAGUAGGCAAUAAAAAAUAAAGCGUAGAAAUAAACUUAGGAGAACGGUUCUUAUGGAAUACCAUAAUCGUUCCGGGUGCCUAACACCUUCCCGUAGCGAAAACGACCCCCGAACUUAGACUCUAAGGGUUUUUUCUCAAUUUUGCCCUUCCCAAGAAAAAAUAGAGAAUAUCAAAGAUUGAAAGGUUCAAGCCUAAUUAAUGACUUGACACCCGAAAAUCGCGAUAACACAAAUGAUUUCACAGGAUGAUUAAUGUUAUAGUGGGCAUGGAUCAAAAAGAAAAGUUGAUACUUCAUUACAUUGAUAGUUGGGAAAAUUGAAGUAUCAAGACUUGAAGAGAAAAAAAAAACGACAUCACAACAUAAUGAUAACAACACAAAACAGAAAGUUGCACAAUUUUUUUUAAAGAGAUCCCUCAAUAGAAACCACAUGACACAAAUUGCAAGCUUCAUUGGGUAUGACAGUAACAUAGACAGUCUAGUUGCUUCCAGCAACUGGUGCACCAAUCUUCAUCCUUACACCUUCAUAAACAUUGCGAGCUUCGUUGCGAGCUUCGUUGCGAGCUUCGACAAACCGCUUCCACUCCCCACCUAUCUAGCAUUGCUCGUAAGGAGUCGAGCCAAAGAUCAAAACACAGUCCCAACAAUUUCCACAAUCAUCCACCAUUUUCAUAGUUUUUGCAUCAUUGUCUUCCUUCAUACUUCAACAUCUCACAGACAAAAAAUUAAUCAUUAGAUUACGUUUUUAAUGAUAUUAACUUAAACAAAAACCACACAUAUAAACUUAUAUACCAAAAUCAUUUUGUUAACAUCAUGAUCAGUAAGCUUUUUCGUCACAUCAUACUCAGUCAAUUUUUUCACAAAAUCAACUUGCAAGUUGUUGAAGUCAUGGCGAUAGGAGAGAGCGGCUGCAAUGGGGGGAGAUCAUUAUUGAAUCCUGGCUGCACAAAGGUUUUGUCGAUCACAAAUUUCAUGGGAGAUAACAUAACAGCCCCCUAUUUAAAAAACAGAAAAAAAAAAUCAGUAAAUGAUGGACAACAAACAAAGAACAGACAUGAAAAUUUCUUCUAUCCAAACCAUUCUCUUCUCCAAUUCAGCCAUUACCUAUAUCCAAAACCUAUUUUGAAAACAAUCUUCUUGGUUCAAUGUCAAUAUAUGUCAGAGUUAUCGAUCAAAGGACCUAUCAUAUAAAUAAGAAGGAACUUGUUAUGAAGGUAUAAAAACUAAGUGUAAUUAACGAAAAGAUAUGCAGGAGCUACAGACCAGUAAGGCAAUGGUAAGACAACAAUGAGAGAGAGAGGAGCAGCGAUGGAGAGAAAAUAAAAAAGAAGAAAAGUGAUUCUGUAUUAGGUGUGAAACAGAAAAGUUAAACGUGAAUAAGGUGUAUGGGAAAACCAUUCUUCAUGUGUUGGAAACUGAAAAGAGAGGCUGAGUGGAGAGAUUUCUGUUUUCCAUACGGCAUAGAAUUAGGUGCAAAUAAAUGCAAUUCAUUGUAUCAGAAAUUUAUCAAAAUGGCACGUUGUAUAAUACUCUGAUUUUUGAAAUUCAUUUGGUGGAAUAUUGAAAGAAUUUUUUAGGGUUAAUACUAACGGCAAUUAAUGAACCAGUUUUAGAGGGAAAUUUUUAGGGUUAAGUGAUUGCUAACCUAAUAACAUUAAGGAGUAAGGGAUUGUGCAGCCCUAACUACCGUCUAUCAUGGGUCCUAGUGUCGGGCCUACACUUGGUUUCUACACCAUUCAUAUCUAGUGUCUAAAAGUUCAUUAUCUAUUGAUCACUUUUAUUAGUGUCUAAGCAUCAUCAAAUGAAUCACAACAUCAAUCCGUUUUUAUUAAAGCUAAAAUUUACAAUUGAUUGUAGCCCACAUAAUAUUAAAAGAAAUUCUAACAUCCUCCCUUUUGGGCAAAAUCAAUUGUGUAUUUUUUUAUUUGAAGAAAGCAUUUUCGAAAACGACUCUCGGACUAAUAACAAACUUUCUAACGUGACAACUAAAUGAUCUCAAGAUGCAACAUUUGAUUAAGACUCCACCCAACAAAAAAUUAAAUGAUAUCGAAUCAUGGCGGUAGUUAUAUCCUUAUUGAUACAACACCUUCCAUGCGGUAACAAAUACCACCAAUUUCGUCGACGAAUCAUUUGUGCAGAGUGUUGCAAGAAGUGAUGAUAUGUCAACGUGAUCAUCAACCAUACUAUCAUCGUCUUUGUUAGUCCUCAAUUUCUCUCCAAUGCCUCAAAGCCAGAGAAGUUAUCACGGAAAACCACAUUGUCUCAGCUCUAAAAUAGUGUUGAUUAUCGACAUAGUGAUUCUAUUAACACUGAGCUAUAGUUUUCAUAUGUAUAUUAUGUUUCAGCUCCAAAAUAGUAUUGAUCAUUAACAUAGUGAUCAUAUUAACACUGAACUCUAAUUUUCACACAUAAUAUAUCAGCUCUAGAAUAGUGUUGACAGCCAGCAUAUAGAUCAUGUCAACACCGAGCUCUCAUUUUUCACAUGUAAAGUCUCAGCUCGAAAAUAGUGUGAAUCACUUGACCAAUAAUUGUAAAUGAUAGAUAAACAAAAAUGAAAAAGUUAUAUGAACAAUAAUGACAAUUUUAGUAUUAUGAUUAAAUUUUAAAUUGAUUUGGGUGUAAUCAAAUAUUUUUUGGGAGCUAAAAAAAAUCAACAUUCAAGAUUAUUUUGCAAAAGUGUAAUGUGAUGUGGUUAGUUAAUAUUAGAUUGAAAUGUGAUCAUUUUAGAAGUUUGUAAUUUUCAAUUGUUUUUUGUUAGAUGUAUGUAUGUGUAUAGAUCGAACCAUGGGAUUAUGGGAAUCUAAAUAUAAAAGUCAAACGUAUGUGACAAAAUCUCACUCUCAACCACCAAUGGAGAAACGCAAUUAUCGGUUGUCGUUAUUGUUUUGCUUUAGAAAUUGCUUUGUUUGGCCUCAAGCAUUAUGUUAUGUCCCGUGAAACAUUCUCAUUCUCAUUCUAAUACAUCAUAACAAAAAAUCAAAAUUAAUUACAUAUCAAACACCCAUUUACACAUAAUUACACAAGUGAACGACAACAAUCAAUAUGGCAAGUGCAAGGAGAUUGGGCAUAGCUAUGGAUUUCUCACCAUGCAGCAUUAAGGCUUUUCAAUGGACAGUGGAUAACAUUGUGAAAGAAGGUGAUAACCUCAUUCUUAUUAUCAUUCGCCCAGAAGAGUAUGAGCAUGGAGAAAUGCAGCUUUGGGAAGUUACUGGCUCACGUAAGUAAUUGCAAUCUUCUUGCUUUUACAAAUUAUUACACAAAGGAGAAAAGUAUUAUCAAUUAAAGUGGUAUAUAUUGUGAUUAUUUUACAAUUUUUCUUGGCAAAUUUUGAAUCAUGCUCUUUGAAAUUACAAUGUCAAAUUAUUCAUAUAAGUUGACACUCCAUAGACAUGCAUAUUCACGUAAAAAAAUGUGUUCCCUCAAUACUUAAAAUACAAAAAAUAUUCAUUUACAUAUGUGCUUUUUGUGCCCUUCUUUGUGCGUGUUUGGAUUGUUGAAGAAUUUGACAAAAUCACAUUGUGUCAUCUCAAUUUUGACAAACACUAGGUGUCAUUAUGUUUUUGUUAAACUCAACGUGAUUUUAAAUAGGAAAAAUCAUCUUUGGACAUUCAAAUACUCCAUUUAUACAUUGAAUGAGAAAUAAAUAGAUAGAGCGAUUUGAUAGAUAUGAUAUAUUAGUGAUGUGAUAAAAUAAAGGGAUAAAAUGAAAAUGAGGUAGAGGUAACCGACGAAUUUAUCAAAUGACUUUUGAUUGGUUUAUAUAAGCAUUUUUCAAUAAACUAUUCAUUUUAAUUUGAUGGCUUGUAAAAACUAUUUUCAAUAUGACAUAAAAUAUUCAUUCGCAGCUUCUGACCAUGAAAUGUGCUCCUCCUCCAGCUUUCGUAUUCGAUUCUCCCCAAUACCAAUUUAAGCGGACUAGAUUACCUUUUUAAAAAAUAAAAUAAAAAACUACAAUUCUAUUUAUUUGGAUUUGAAUUUGAUGUUCAUCAUGCAGCUCUCACGCCUCUGGGUGAGUUCAUUAACUCCGAUCUCCCAAAGAAAUAUGAAAUCAAAACCGAUCCUGAAGUACUUAAAAUUGCUACAACCGCCAUAGAGCAAAAAAAGGUAAGAUUUAAAUUUGAUCAUGUAGUUAUAGAUCAUGUUUUAUUCAUAUAUUAUUAAUGUAGGUUUUAUUUUAGUAACUUUGAGAUUUUGUGUGGCAUAGGUUGUGGUACUAGUAAAGGUCUAUUGGGGAGAUGCUCGUGAGAAAUUAUGUGAAGCAAUUGAACAAGUACCUCUUGAUGGUCUUACCAUGGGGAAUAGAGGUCUUGGCACCCUUAGAAGGUAGAUAUACCACCUUAACCCGAAAUUGAGAGUUUCAUUUUUUUUAAUGAUAUUUCAUUGAAUAUUUUACUAUAUUGUUUUUUUUUUUUCUUUUGAUGGGAUCCGAUGCAUUAAUGUUGGUUUAAUGUUUUUUUUUUCUCAGGGCGAUAAUGGGCAGUGUCAGCAAUUACGUAGUGAAUAAUGCUUCUUGUCCCGUUACUGUGGUGAAGAGUUCAGGCCAACACCAUUAAUUAAUUUUUCUAUCUAAUUUGAUAUAGGAAUAAACAUGUACCUUGUUUGAUGUUUUUAGUGGUUUUCCAUAUAGUUUUUUUUCUUCUUUCUUUUCAGCCUGUUUAUGAAUUAACUUUAUAAGGAAAUAAAUGUAAGAAAAUAGUUUUAUUUGUACUACAAGUGUCCCUACUCCCUAGGGUACAUAUAUAAUGAAUUGUGUGAGUUCAUGAGACACUGCAUCUUUGACCGUAUAUAUCAGUAAAUAAGAAAUGAAAUCCUAGUGUGCAUUUACCUUAUCUUUGAACCAUUUCAAUGUAUUUCUCUCACUUUUUCUUUAAGGGUGUGUUUGGUUGUGAAGAGAAAUUGUGAAGAGAGAAAUAGGUGAGAGAGUAUGAAAGAGAGAAAUAUGUGAGAAAUAGAGUAGAUUUGAUAGAUUGUUUGGAAUAAGAGAAAGAUGAGAGAAAUAGAGAAGAGAGAUUUACAAUGAUUUAACAAAUUGACAAAAAAACCCUUACCUUAUAAAGUCAUCUUUAUAAAAAAAAUUGUCAAAAUGUUAAUUAAUUAUUUCAUUUUCUAGUGUUGCUAUUAUCAAAUUAGUUGAUUAAAUAGGAUAAAAAAAACAUCCUUAAAAAAAAAAUUAACAAAAUAGGGGAGUUUUUUUGUUUCAUUCGGAAAAGCAAAUGUAAAGAAAAAGUUAAAAAAUAAUGAAAAUUAAUUAUAGAAAAAGAGAAACUUGCGACUUGAGAGUAGUACCAAGCCUUAGUUGUUUUCCAUUUAAGCCAAAAUACACAAGAUCUUAAUUGGGGGUGUUUGCUGCAAAUUCAUUUGAAACAGAAAAAAAAAAAAUUAAAGCUUUGUACACGGUGAGAUGGUGGAACGCAUCUAAGAGACAACAUAUAACCAUGGCAGUACUGGAGAUAUGAAGAAACAAUAGUGAAUUGUGAUAAUAAUUAAUUAAUAAUAAAUAAUAAUAAUGGUAGAACAGAAAACAAAAAAAAUGAAGCUGGUUUCUCCCCCCUUUCUUCGCAUGUUAGCACAAAAACAAAAAGGCGGUGGACCCCAUAUUAAAGCAGUCUCUCUCCCCAAUUUCUUUCCAAACCAAACUGAAGAAGUUUGACAUCUCUCUCCAAUUCUUUCUCUCCAACUUCUCUCUCCCCUUUUUCACCUCAAACAAACACAGUGUAAGAAAACAACUUAUAUUUGAAUCUAGAGUGUUAAAGUAUACAAAUGGUUAAAUUUGUUGGAUUUCUGUGGGACCUUAAUCAUUAUUUCCAACAAGUGCAAUUUAGGAUUUGCAUCACGAAGGUCGUGAAUAUACCUGUGUUUUGUUUUAAUAGGUGGGUCAAAUUUUCAUGUUAUUGAAAAGCAGAAAUCAUGGAAGGAAUAGGUGAAAUUGUCCAAUUGGAUCAGUUUACUACUAGGACCGUUUUUAGCGAUUUACGGGUCUUAUGCAGAGUAUGAAAAAAGAACUCCUUAUAUAACAUUAUAAACUUUUUCCCUCAUAACCGAUGAAUGAAACAUACAUUAGUUAUGGCGGUUGACAUCCCAACUAUACUCCCUAAGUCACUAUUUGAAGCUCUAGGAUUAAUAUCAAGAAAUCUCUUUUGAACACCUUGGUGCUUUCAUUUCAUAUUGGAACCAUUAUCAUAACCUUGCUCCCUCACAUCAUCGACAUUAAGAUCAUGAGUCUUUAAAAUAUUUAGUAAUUCAUUAAUAAGUCCUAGCCCGAACGUAUCAUUAACUUUUAAAAAAAAAUCCUAAAAAGAACUCAUCAAUCUUUGUUGUAUUAUUUGACAUAUUCACACAACGAAUUAAAAGAGUCAUUUGUUCUUUGAUGACUCAAAUCAGGGGUACAAUCAAGAAUUAUCGAAAAGUAUUUUGCCUCUUUAAUGAUGUUGAUGAUUGUCUUUGUAACACUUUGUGACAAAAGAAAAAUAAAUUCAUUUUGAAUUUUAUGUCUAAGAUAAUGGUUAUGAGUUCAUGAUUCUGAACGCAUCUCACAAUCUUGUAUUAUCAAAUUAAAUUCCGCAAUCAUUUAAAUCAAUCCAAGAAAAUUACCAUUACUAUCUUGACUUAAUUUUUCUUUGGAUCCUUGAAAUGCAAGAUUAUUUAUUCUUAGCAAGACAUUUCAAAACUGGAAGUAUUCUAUGUAAAACUUGUCUCCAACGCUCUUUCUCUUUCACAAUUUCUUCUUGCAAGUGUUUAUCAAUUGCCUGAUUUUUAUCAAAUCUCAUUCUCAAUUCAUUCUAAGUAUUCAUGUAAGUCAUAUAUGUUCGACACCAUUUUCAUGUUGUUUGAGUCUUUGACUAAUGCUUCCAAUCAUUUAAACUCUCACUUGAUAGUAAACUAAAGUUAUUAGAAGUAGAAGAUUUAAACAAUGUACAACAAAAACAAUAUACUUUAUCAACAUAUUUGUAAUAAAUUAGUCAUUUUCGAUCACUAAUCUCACCAUUUGUUAAUUUUCUUGAAUAAUUCACACAUGAAAAAUGUCUAUAAUAAUUGUCAUUAGAAAAAUUAAGAUCUAUUUAUCUAGUAGACCCCUUUUUAACUAGAAUAUACCUCGAUAUGCCAGUAAAUUAAAUUACUUGAUUGGAUUUGAAAUGCCAAAAUUUAUAGUUUGUACAAAAAUUUCGUCUGAUAUGCGAUCAUAGUUUGGGAAAUCAAAAUAGAUCAAAAGUCUUGUAUUUGUUUCAUGGAUAAAAAUUUAUUCCGACGAACUUGAACUUGAUACUUGUUGCAUUUUUGUUUCAAGUUUUAGGAAAAUCAUGAUAAAAUACUUUUUACCCUCACAAAAUAACCAUAAAUAAUUAACCAUGGAAAUUUUAUGUUCCCAUAGAAUAAAAUAACCAUAAAUUCCCAAUCACAAAUCAUUUUAACAAAUUUAUUUUAUACUUAAAAUUAUAAAGUAUAAAAUAAAUGUGUUAAAAUAAAUUAGCAUAUCCAAUUGUAUUUCAUAAACUUUUUCAAAGUAUUUCACAAGUGAUUGUCUAAAUGUGUUAAGAGUCUAAGUGCAACAGAUAAAAUCAAAGUUACAAAGAUAAAGAGAGAGAGAAAGCAGACACAAAACAAUUAUAUUGGGUCCUCUUAGAAUCUAACAGCAGUCCAGUCUCCUUGCACUUUCAAGAGAUUUUCACUAUAAUCACUACUAAUUACAAAUGCUCAAUGACACAACCAAGAGACAUACAAUGCCCAAGCACACAAGCAAGGGACUUCAAAAUGCUCAAUCACAACUGAAAGAGACUUCUAAGUGUUCACAAAUAAAAGAGUUUUUUACACUUGUUAUAAAAUGACAAAUGUAAGCAAUUACACAACAUAACAAGACUCUUAAGACUUAGAAUUUUUAAGAUAUGAACUUAGUACGAAAUUCUUAAGUGUUCUAUGCACGUUUGAAUUUGACAGAGUUUUGUUUUUAUUCUUAAGUCUUCAACUCCUUAUAUAGGCAAAAAUUUGAGAGACGUUAGAGAGGUGUCAGCGCAUUAAGAGUCGUUGAGAAUCAUCAAAUCAAAGACGUUGGAAUGUUAUCUGAUAUGGUUAAUGUCAUUUUAAAAGACAUUCGAAAUCUAUUGCUGCAAAUGAAAUUAUUUGUUCGUUUAUUUUGUUCUUGAAUUUGGCUAAGUACGUGAUUCAGAAAAAGACAAAUUGUACUUCUUGAAAGUGACCCUUCUCAAAAGAAGACAAAGAUGACUUGGCUUCUUGGUCCCUCAGAGUCCGAAUGCCACAUAGUCAGGGUGACUCCAAAUCUGAGUGACUUUCUCUUCACUAGCUUCUGGGUGACUUCUUCUCUUCUGAUCUAACAUGUUGACUUCUGAUUUCCCUUUCUUCAGAUCUUCUACCAAGUCUUUUAACUUCUCUUGUGCUUCUAAUGCUCUUAUAUAUGUUCAUACCUUGUUAAUUUGUUUUUUUGAAGAGGCUAAAAUGAAAUUGCAUUACCACAUCAAAAAGGCCUUCCUAGCACAAGAUGUGGACCUUGUUAAAUUUUAAUCUAUGGUUAUGCACAUUUAAACAUAUAUUAGCAUAUUCAAUUGUUUUUUAAUACUUUGUUAUCAUCAACAAUUUUAGAGUUAUUGUACAAAUCCAAUUUUGUUUCAAUAUGGGAGAGUGCAACACAUAAUCCAUAUUCUAUUGCUUUUUGUUAGCUUUAUUUUCCCUCAUCUCUAGAUUUUUGGAAUUUGUUACAUAACUCCCCUAUAUAUGUAAGAAUUGGCAAUAGUCAAAUGAAUCAAGAAGUAUUUUUCUUAUUUUUUUUUUCUCUAUUCCUCUCAAAACUUUUGGAGCUUGAUUCUUGCAUGAAAAGAUGGGUGUGGCUAGGGUUUGAAGAGCUAGUGAAAAGAAAAUCAACGAACAUGCAAUGGAACAAGCUUUGUGCUCACUUCUAUAACAUAAAGGCUGAUUGAAAGUGUGUUUAGUAUCAAUAUCUAACAACUGCAUGACACUAACCUACAUGAUUAAAUUCAAUCAAUUUUAUCUUUUAAGUCAUUAUCAAUGUUCACAUAUUAUUAGUACCAAUGUUGUGCAUUAGUGUUUCAUAUCUAUUCGGUUCUUAAGAAAUUUACCAAUUGUAUGCAUCAAUAGUCCCGUGAUAAAGAAAUUCAUAUAUCAUCUCUAAUGUUUAAUUCAAAUGUCAAGAUUGUUAUAUUGAAUAUUUCCUUUUGUGUGUGAAUUUUUAGGUAAUGUUAUCAUUUGUAAUGUCUAGUUCAACCGUCAAUGUCAAAAUUGUUAUAUUGGAUAUUUUCUUUUGUGUGUGUGUUUUUAGGUGAUAUUUUUCACGAUGUCUAUAGACCCCAAAAAAAAAAUCCAUCUAUCUUAUUUUCAUUUUAUGUUUCCUCAUAUAUAUAUGGGGUCCUAUAUUUGGAUUAUUACUCGCAAACAAUGCUCCAGUGAAACUUGCAAUUUUAUUUAUCAUCAAUAGAGCUUAUGAGAUUGAGAAGACAUUAAUCACUAAAAAAAUCUAUUUUAAGAGUGAAAAAAAUAGAUGUAGUAUAGUUUCAACCGCUGACAAAUUAUUGUUAUCCCCUCAAAGAAUGCAUAAACAAUGGUUACUAUCCCUAAAUAGCAUCCUAUUUUCAAGAACAAUUCAUAUAACAUGUUUCACUCACAAGUUAAAUUAAAUCUCCUUACACAUAAUUCACCAUAACACAUUUUUUCUCUCUUCUAAUUAACUUCUCAAGUCCCAAACCUUCAAGGAACAACAUGAAGUUCAUCAACAACAAGAACAACAUUAACCUCAAAAUUUUCUACAUAAUCCUAAUAUGUUUUGCACUAGAAAAAUGCACGGCUCACAUAUUCCAUGACACAACAUUACACAUAGAAAAACAGCACACUUCAGGUCAUCAUCACAUGGAACAUCCUCCGACCCAUUCUAGUCAUCACACGGCGCAUCCUCCGACCCAUUCUUCAGAAGCAUCCUUCGACUCGCUCUUAAUUCCACAAGCGCAAGCACAAGCACCGUCGAAACCAGAACCAGGUCCAGAACAACAAGCAUUUGGCCAUUCAGCUUCCUUCAAAAAUGCAUUCUCCGACCUUCUCAAAGGGGAAAUAAGCAUAGACCCCAUGACAAUGCCUCAACACCCAUUUGAAUCAAUUAAACAAAGCACCCUAGGAAUUGAUCAAAUAUGUAUGCACACAGAUUACCCCGACAUUUGUCUCGCAACAAUUCAACCUCUUAUAAGUAUCAAUUUGAAUUUCGAAUUGAUUGAUGUCCUCGGAGCUGCAAUAAAAGUUUGUACUCUACAAGUAAAAUUGACAAUAUCAAAGGUGGCUGCACAUGCAGCUAAGAAUCCAGAGGUUGCUAGUGCAGUUGCUGAUUGUAAGGAACAAUACAAUAGUGCUUUGGACAAUCUUCAAAAAGCAGCGGAUGCUAUUGCAUCGCGCGAUCUUGGUACAAUUACAGUUAUGCUUAGUGCUGUUAUGGCUGAUGUUUCUACAUGUGAGAGUGCUUUUGAGGAUCUAAAAGCAUCACCUACUUCUACCAUGUCUAGUAACGAUGGUUUAGUUAGUAUUACUGUUAGCAAUUGUCUUUCCAUUGCUAAUUUGAUUCCCUAUUAAUAUGGUUAAUGUUUGUAAAUUAUAUGCACUAAAGUCAAGUUUUGGGCAUUGGGAUUUGGCUUGGAUUAUAUAGGAAAAAGUAUUAAUUAGUUGUUAAAGGGUAAAAACUCUUGAUCAAGAGUUAUUUGUCAAUGUAUAUGUAUUUGUUUGGAUUUUUGUUACUUUGUUUUGCUAAAUUAACCUAUGGUUUUUUAGUUUGUUGUAUUUAUUUCUAUACGGUAGUGGAUGGAAUGUAAUUUUGAUCUGCAUGAAUAUGAAUAUAUUAAUACAAAAUUGGAACUAAAUAUAUGUAAUGAUGUAGUAUAUGAUUGGUUUUGUGGUGGCUAAAAUUGAUUUUGACUUAAUUGAUUUUAGAUAAAAGUGAGUUGAUGGAAAUUAAUUCAUUUUUGGAUGCAAAAACAUAAAAAUGUUUUUUAGUAAUUCAUGUCGUUUGGAUAAUUUAAAUCGAAAUUUCUUUUAGAUGUAUAUUUAGAGGUGCCUAGAGCCCAAGCAUUGCGCAUAUCCUCUAAUGAGGAGAACUCAAAUUCAUAAAAUUCUCUCCCCAAUGAUACCAAUUUCCACUGUCCCGAGAUUUUCCACAGUUUCGAGAGUUUCAAAAAUAAAUACUCGGCAGUACACGGCUUAUCUCCCUUACUCAUAACAAGCCUGCCAUGUAAGAGCCGCUUACAUUCAUCAAUUCCCUUUUCAUAUUCUUCCUGUGUAAUCUUAAUAAUGAGAGAAUCAUAUUUGAUGAUUGGAACCAGUAGCUGCUCAUCAAUUGUCGUUACUGAGCCACUUAAAGCCUGCGCAAAAGUAACCUUCGGUUGUACUUGCACCGGUUUAGUUUGCUUCGUAAAAUCCUUAUCUGUGAAUGAUACAGUUGUGAUUGCAGGUGUGGAAGAAUUAUGCAACCAUAAGGCUGGUGAAAAGGCCGAUUGGGCUGAAAACUCUGCCUGCCAAGCGAAAGGCAUGACCACAGCUGGAACAGCGAAGAAAACUUAAUAACCAAGCUGGAGCGUUUAGAAAUUGGUAUCUUGGAUGAAGAAAUUGGAUCACGUGAUUCCCAAAAGCAAAGAACAAUUGGAUGGCAAUUUGCUUUAAAGAUUCGACGGCAAUAUGCUGGACGGUGCGCAUGCUAGGCAAUAUGCUUUAGAGAUUUAGAGAAUUAUUCAACAAUUAGUUAAACUAAUGAAGAGAUAAAGCGUAAUCAACUAAGUUCUCAUUAAAGAUUAAUCAUUUUUCCAACUGUAAUAACAUAAUAAGAUAACAACAUAACGAUUUUCAAUUACUGAUUACGACAAUGUAAUAUGAUAGGACAAAUUACACUUCAUCAUCGAUCUACAAUCACAACAUAACAUGAUAUCAUUCAAUCUGAAACAAAUUACAUGCAUUAUUAAUCAUAAUAAUGAAUUAAGCCUGGUCAUCGAUGCUUAACUCAUCUACAACAUUCCCAUGGUUAAAACCUUCAACAUCACUUGUUUUUCAAGUAAUCCCUUGUUGAUUCACCAAACCCUUUCUUGCAACAAUGACCGAAUUUAUAACCUCGUCAGUUGGAUGAAAAAUGGACAAAACUUCAAAACCUUUAAGAUCACAAGAAGGAUCAACAACAUGAUAAAGAAAAGCUUUAGCACCAUGUGCACUCCUUAGAACAAGAAUGGCACCAGGAGCCAUGUAUUUAGCCAAGUGAUUAAUCACUUUUGCUUUCUCCUUUUUGUCCAUACCAACCAAUGCAGCCAAAAACACAACAUUAAACUCUUUAAGUUCAUUUUUCACAUCAACAAUAUCACUAGUGUGAAAAAGCAUUCUUUUUGACAAGUCAUUGUCUUUUGAGAUUAAAUCAUAAGCUUUUGAAUUUGCCAAUGAAUCAAUGUCAAAGUUGUGGAAACAUGUUUUUGUUAGGUAAUAGGUUGCUAAUAUGAUUGAGGUUAGAGGAAGUGGGCCAGAGCCAAUAAAGGCAAGUUUUGAAGGAACUUGAGUGAUGUGUUUGGUGAACAUAGUGAAUUCUAAAUGUGUGAGUUUUAGGUAAUUUUUGUAGUAAGGGAAGAUUUUUAUGUGGUUUAGUGGGUUUUCAUUUGAUCCUAUGAGAGUUGAGUAAUGACUUUCAAGUAAUCCUUCAGCUUUUCCACAAAGGGUAAUUAGUUUAGCAAUUUUUUCUUUGAUUUCUUGGGACAAUUGAGUAAUAUCAAAUUCAUGACAUGGGGUGGUGCAUGUUGUUACUAGUUGGGUAAAUAAGUCAUUGACUUGGUUUGGGGGAUUAAGGCUUCCUAACCUAGAGAGUUUGUCGUAAAUUUUACAUACCUUUUCGAUUAUCACCUCUUGACGAUUGUCCAUUCUUGUAUUAAUAUAUGAUCUAAUCUGACUUUUAUGAUAGAUUUAUGUUGUUACGCACAAAGAAACCUAAUUUAUAACAACAAAAUAAAAAUGAUGAACUUGCACAACAAUUACUAUAUCCUCACCUUUGAAUUCAAGGUUUUUAACAUUCUUGAUUCAAUGUUAAUUUAUAAUAAGAAUGUAGGGCUAUUUUUUGUUUAGAGUUUCGAGGUUAGAGUUGAUAGGCCCUUCUACUAGUGGGUGCAAAUUGAUGUGAGAUAAAAAAAAAGGUUCUAUUUUAUUAAAAAAAAAAAAGUGAUCAAGUGUAUGUGACAAGUGCAACAUUAGAAGACAUAGAAAACUCUUGUUGCCAAAUGAAGAUUUGUAAUAGGACAAGAUAUAUGUAAAUAUUAAUAAUAGUGAUGCAUUCUAUGUUUAUAGUGAAGACAAUACUCCUUCCAAAAAAAAAAAAAAGUGAAGACAAUACUGAAAAUGAAAUGUGACAUUGUGCUAACAGUCAUAUGUGGUUUUUUCCAAGUUGUGCAUUCUAUCUACAUUUUCCAUUGGGGUAAGAGAUAUGGCAACAUUCUACAACGCUUUCCAUUGAUUUUAUGGAAAUCAUCUUAAUAAUUUAAGCAUGCUUUAUUAUUUUUAAUCUUUUUAAUCUUCUAAACACCAUAGGUCAAUGUUCGAAUUCUGAACUUCUUAUUUAUUCGCUGCAAAAGGUGAAUUUCUAAACCCUAACCUAUUUCCAAAAAUAAAUAUCUCAUAUCGAUGACAUAAUUUAAAAAAUCCCUCAAAAAAAGAAAAAACAUAGUUUUGAAAAAAAAGAAAAAAGAGAAAUGGCAUAUAUUUCCUGUUAACAACAUUGAAUAAUCAAAUUGCAGCAUGUAGAUACUUUCUGUCCACAUCUCAUGGCAUCAGAAAACAAAGAAGAUAUUUACAUAAGAUAGAACAAAACAAUCAUCUCAAGGAACAGAACAUGCACCUUUGUUAAAUAUUAUUUUUAUCAUUCAAAAUUAAGAUCCAACACUAGCAAUAAGGUUCAACUACUUGAUGAUUAUUUUAUGCCUAUAGUAUGUCGACAUUUUGUUCCUAGAUGUCCAUUAUUGAUCAGUGUAGUGCACUAUGUGCUAUAUUGCAUAAACUGCAUUUUACAUGUAAUUAUCUCAAUAAAUUUACAUUAAUCUUUAUUGAUAUUUUAAAAGCAAACUAAGCAAACUAAUAAAGUUUGAUUUUUUAUUUUCAACCAUCUAGAAAGAUAAUAAUUAUACUUUAUCAAACGUAUGAUCAAUUGACUUCAUAUAUACAACUUUUGCUUGUCUUGAAUAUGAGUAUAGUUUGAUGAACUUGUAACAAAUCUUGGAUCGAAGGAUAAAAAUUGACAUUCAUAGAAGAGAUAGAGAUCGUAUGAUACUUCGGAGAUAAUAUAUAUAUAUAUAUAUAUAUUUUUUGAAGAAGUACUCCGGAGAUGAUUUUACAUUAAUUUAUUAAAAAAUGAUUAAAUGAAUUAGACAGUACUAUUCAUAAAGCUAUUUAGCUAAACAUAUGUAACCAAAUGUUCAGGAUCCACCACCCUCAAUAUAAUAUCAAAAUAAUCAUAUAUGAACCAUAAUUUUUCAUGUUUGUCAUAAAUUUAGUAUUUAGAAUAGGAAUUUUAAUAGGUACUACAUUUAUGGAAAUAAUAAUCAUUAAGAUAAAUGAAAAAACAGUUGAAAAAAGUAAAAUAAAAAAAAGAAUGUGUGGCUGCUGGGAUUCGAGCCCAGGUCUCCACGGCCACAACGUGGAAUUCUCACCACUAAACUACAGCCACAUUUGUGAUAGCUUGCGCUUUUGUAUCUUAUUUAAUCAAGUAAUAUAAAUAUCAAAUUUGUAAAUUUGGGACCCACAGACCAAUACGUUUUGAGUUUUGAGCUACUUGAACUUUUUUCAAUCUGAAAAACAACGUGAACUCCCAUGUUUUUAAUAUCUACAUCCAAUCAAUUAUCUCUAUUUUUAAACAGACUCUCAUUUCUUCUUUCAUUCAACAUAUUAGAUUAAGGGUUGAGAUUCAACAUCAUCAAAAUGACAAAAUUCAAAUAUUUUUAGGCCUCAAACUUAUUAUACUUUUGAUUCAACUAAUACUCUUAUAAUUUUAUUAAUUUUUUUUAGUGCUGGUAGUAUAAAUUUCCUUUACUAAUUUUAUUGAACUUACAUUUAUUGACUAGUUUUUUUUUUUGUGCGUUGUUAAUAAUGUAGUGCAAAUUUAAAGUAGUAAAACAGGUAUCGUAGACUAUAUAAGAGCAUACAUAUCGGGAAAAACUAAUCAAUAAUGUAAAUGUAUUAAUAUUUAUUUGUGAGUUGUUAAAUAUUGUAAAAGAUAAUAUUUAGGUUUAAAAGGCUUCUAAUUUUGUUAUUGGUUAAGUUUUAAAGGGUCUCAUUUCAAGUUUCGUUUUAGGCCUCUAGAUGGAUUGAACCAGAUCCGUUGAUAGGUAAAUUAUCCCAAUUAGCAUUUUCUUUUAAUUAAGGAUGGAAGAAAUGGAAAGACAAAAAAGUAGUGUAAUGAAACCAAAACAAAGAUAGUAGUAAAAUAGGGUGGAGAUCCUCUCCAUUUAUAGAGAAAAUGUCAGGAAAAUUAUUGAGUGGCUUCUCGGUUACCAAUGUUACUUUAUCAAAGUGUGUUAAAUACUUGAGAUAUAAACUAUGUUUGUUGCUUUGUUUAAAUAAUUGAGAAAUGUGAAAUAACAUAAAAUAUUAUAGAGUCUGCUGUUAAGGAGUGCCUUAGAACGGAUGCAGUUAUCAUGCAUAAGGAAUCCUUAUGCACCCGGCAUAAAUUUCAGUCCAUUAACCAUUUUGCAGUGGAAAUGGUUUCUGUGAGUUGGACUCCAAAACCAUUUUGCUGUGGAAAUGGUUUCUGUGAGUUGUAUUUCAAAACCAUUAGAUGUACUUAAUGGUUUUCUGUCUUCUCACUUGCGAUUAUGUUUUCAAUUUGCUUUCUUCGACCCGAUCUAUGAAUAAUUCGUUUUCUUGUUACAUUCUUUUCAGUUUUUUUUUUUUUUUGCGAUUGCGAUUUCGAGUCUGUUUCAAUCGCAAUUUUGUCCUUGCAAUUUUCCCCAAUUCUUAGGGUUUAUGAUUCGGUUUUGAUAACAUCAUUCGCAGUUAUGUUCCAAAUUCCUCUUUGAUUUCAUAAUUGACGGUUUUAUGUAGUUUCUUCGAUCUCUGUUUUCGAUUUGUUUCAUCGUAACUCGUUUUCGUUUGUCCUUGCGAGACGGAUUAUCCAAUAUGAUAUUCUUGAUCGAUUUCUUGGUUGUGACUGAAAUCGUAAUUGUGAAUAUGAUCUGAAAGAUAUUCAAUGCAUCUGUUCAUUUCAUCUGUGCUUUUUCUCUCACAAAUUUUGAUGACGAAUGACUGCUUACAACAUAUCCCAAAUCAGAUGGUUGUGAAGUGUUUAUGUAGGGUGCAUAAUGAAAUGACUUAUGCAUAAUAACUUUGCCCCUCGGGACACUCUUUAAGGAUCUCAAAUUUAUAAAAUAAUCAUUAAAAAAGUUAAGUGUUACAAAUUCUAAUACAUUGAUUACUCAGUUUUUUUUUUUUAUAAAAACUUACUAUUAAUGGUUCUUAAAGAGUACCCCUGAAACACUCGUUGAUAUUUUCCAAUAUUAUAUAGGGUCCAUUUAUACCAAAAAAAAGAAAGAAGAGAAAACCCAAAUAUCACAAUACUAGGUCAUAUAAUAAGCACAUGCAACAUCCUUUUAACAAAUGUGUCUCUUAAGUUGAAACUAGUAAUUAUACUAAUAAGAACCAUGGAUUUGGACAACAAGAUACAAAAUGUAUCUUGCAUUUUACAAUAAUCAGAUGAAUUUCCAAACAGAAACAGAAUUAAUUGGUGUUCCUUUCCAUCCAACAAGAAGACAAUGACCAUUCAUAUCAAAUGUGCAAGCAUAUCCACAAGCAAAUCUUUUAGCCACUAAUUCAGCUUGAUACAAAGACUUCAUACUCAAUUCUGUUUCCACCAUUCCAAAUCUUGUGAAAAAUGCUCUCCACACAUCAAUCUUUACAUUCCUACUCUUUCUUUCAGCUCCUUCUUCAGCCACAAUAUUCCUAAUACCAUGACUAAAAUACAUUGACUCUAGUAUAAAUCUGUUCUUCUCAUCACCUUUCAUACAAGUCUCAAAACAAUCAAAAUAUGCACUAAAGUAAAAAAGUGCUUCAAUGAAACGGUUCACAAAAGAUUUGGAAUUGUGAUUAGCUUCAAUCUCGGCGACAACCAUUACUAUAGGAUUUAUGGUUCUAAUCACUCUCAUGAUUGUUUCGAGUUUGUCUGGUUGUUGAAUCUUGCUUCUAAGCGCAAAUUGAGAAUAAACCGCGACUGUUUCUUCCGAAUCUAUCUUGAAAAGUUCUUCUCUUAUAUGUAACAAAUCAGAUACAACAACUAUAUCGAACGAAAAAGGUAUGUUUAAACUUUGCGCGAAAUCCUUCAAUCUUUUACCAGUGUCCUCAACUAUAUGCUUUGAAGUGUCUGAGUUUCCGCUCUCAAUAGCUGUUAUCUUUAGAAGCUCGAGUGGACAUUCGUUUCUCGAUUGAAGUGCUUGCAUAAGGAUUGUCCAUUGACACCCUUUUCGAAUUUCGAGAUCAAUAACAUGAAUCUUCUUUGCAUCAUUUACAUUUUCCAAUAAAGCUUGUACACAAGUGAAUAUUGAAACUUGACUGAAUGGAAGAUCUUCGUAAAGCGCGAUCAUGGCCGGGUUUAGAUCCUUGCUAACCUCUUGAGGAUCAAAUAAAGAUUCCAUCUUUUGCAUAUUGUUGGAUGAAACAGAAAAUCGUCCUGUUUCUUUGUCGAUUCUUUGACAAAGAGCUUCAGCAAAAUAAUGAACCACACGCUUAACCGGGUUACCUGUCUUCGAAGAUAAAGACUCGAUUUGUGAUAACAAUUUUCUAGCGCGUUCAUAUUGUUGAUAUCCGACUUUCUCAGCACAAGCUAAGAGUGAUUCAGCAAGCGAAACAUUUUCUUUCUCUUCAUCAGAUAAACCGGAGAAAGAAAAACCAAAAGGGUGAUUAAGAAUCAAACCUGAUGCAGAUUUUGACGAAGACGAUGAUUGUAUGAACCUUGUUCCAGCCAUCUUCAUGAUCUCUAUAGUUGACAACAACUUUUUCUCAUUUUCAUUAUUUGUGACUAAACCAAAGUCAUUAACCGGAUGAAGGAUAUUUCCUUCAUCAUCAGGUAAUAGCCUCUUGAAUCCUUUGCCAUAAUUCUUCAAUAUGUCAACUGGUGCUAAAGGAGUUUGGUAGAAUGGUUGGUCCUUUUUUGUGUCACCAAAGUGAACCAUGUCAAAGUGUAGGUUAUCAAAAGUUUCAUAAUCUUGAUAUGAUUCUUGUUGUUGGUGAUGAAACUUUAGGAACUCAUUUUCUUGAUAUGAUGGAUCAUCUUGAAAGAAACCAAAAUUAGAGCAAAGAGACUCAAUUCCAUUAUAGUCUCCUAGAUCUUCUGCUACAGAAAAUUGUACAUUUUUCAUUUCAUUAUGCCCUUUGGUUUCCCAAAAUGUAUCAUUGGAUGAACUAAGUUUAUCCUCAACUAUAUUGAAACUGAAGUCACCCAAAUUGUAUAAGUUUUCCAUAACAAAAACAAUUUUUUUUUUAGUAUUAUUGGUUUAAAACUAAUUAUGUUCUUAUGUACUUCAUUCUAUAUAUAACAAUUAAUAAGAUUAUUAUUCUUAUUAGUAGUAGUCACUGUCAUUCUUUGUUUUAUUUUAAUAUAUAUGAACCUUCCUUUGUUGAUUAAGUGAAUUAAGGUAUAGUUUAUGCUUAGUUUAAUGUGAAAUACUAGUUCUAACAUUGAUGUACUCACCAUCAUGAUAAUGGGUAGAUAUGAUCAAGGUGGCAUAAGCCAGCAAAGAUGGCGUAAGUGAUGACAUUACCGGCUGAAUUUUAACAUUUUGAACUUGGUUUAAUUUGGGGUACAAAUUGUGUUAAAAGAGAUAAAACACAAAUAACUUAUUAAUGAGAUCACUCAUCUCAAGAUUAUUCUCACCCUAACACGUUUAACAACUGCAGUGUUUUAAUGAGAUACGAUGUAUUAAUGUUGGUAUGACCUUGAACUUAUUUUAUUUUAGGCUAAGGUUAUUAACCCCUCCCCAUUUUAUUAAGUGCAUUAAAGAUAUUAUAUAAUCCCUUAAAAAAAAUAUUAUAUAAUGUAAGAGUAUGUCUGAAAUGCUUACGACCUAUGAAGCCCCUUGAUACUUCAAAAAUGGAGAUUGAUACUCUAUGGAUACUCGCAAAUAUGCAUCCAAGAAGUAUCAUUUUUUUUUAAAAAAAUUUUUAAAAAAAUAUUGUAUGAGAUACUUAUAAGAUAUUUCACGAAUACACAAGUAUACUUCUAAAAUACUUCACUAUAUAUAUCUUAAAAAAAUGUGAGACAAGGUUGUGAAAAUUUAGUGAAGAUGUCAAUGAUGCAAUUCAAGGUGUGAAGUUGUCCCAUGAUGAACCAGACUUACGAUGUGUAUUUUUUUUUUUUUUUGUGGAUGAUGGUAAUGAGAUAAAAGUUUGGUCAACAUUAAAAAAAUUGUUGUGUUCUUUUAAUGACAUUUUUAUUGAUAUCCUAACAUAGCGAUAAAUUUCGAUUAUUUCAAGUCACACAAAAACUCUGUACAUUUUAUUUUGAUCACAAGUAUUAUUUUUUUGUAAAUUAUGAUCUUUAUAAUCUAUUAUUAAUAAACAAUAAUCAAUGAAUAGUUAUGUUAAGUAUUUUAUGUGCAUAUAAGUUUUAUUAUAAAAAGUUUGUUAACCCAAGUUAGCUGUAUCGUAUCCUAAAUUUAAAAAAAUUUAUAUAUCCGCAUAUCCGCAUUGUAAAACACUCAAACUAUCCAAGCUUUAUGGUUAACGACAAAUACUCACACAUCUUUGAUGCAGGUACUUUGUGGUCUUGGCAUAAUCACAACUCUUCAUACUUCUCCAAUUCAACUAUCAUUAAUCAUCAUCUCGUCAUGGAAGCUCGCAAUUGAAUGUGCUGGUGAACACAAGAAGGGUCGUUUGAAUUAUUUUGACCAUUUUAAAAUCACUCUCGUUUAACAUAGGUUCAGUUGAAUCAUAGUCUUCAAAAGCCUCACUAGGCAUUUCUUUUAAAAAAAAGGUUUGUUGCCACUACUAAAGGGUGUAUAUAAACGAGUUUGUAUUUGACUGAUACAAAGUUGAAAUUUGAAGAUUAAUUCUCUUCGUGACAAUAUUACAAUACAAUAAUAUGUCAAUUGAAGUGUUCAAUAAUAACUUUUAUCAAAAUCUUAUGAUUCACAACUUAGAGGAUAUAAAAUGAGCAAAUAUAACAAUCAUAUUUCAACGAUUCAAUGAACUUUCCUUUUUUCUAUAUCUCUCUAAGCUCACAAUCAUGGAUGUUAUGUAGAACUAUCUCAUGAUACCAUAAGUCAUAAGUCAAAUGAUAUUUGAUUGACUUUGGUUUUCUUCUCUUGAUUUGGUCUUCAACUUACAGUUUUUGACUCUCAGCUCUGCGCCAUGACUUCUUUAGUCUUGAUCCUUUUGAUCAGAGACCACAUAAUUAAUGGUUGGUCACUCAUGCUUCAUGGUCAUUGAUGAUAUUGGUCUUUAACCCUUUUUGGCCAUUGACAAUCAAACAUCAACACUUUCUUCAAUUUGAAUAGUUUUGUUUUAAUACUCUUGAAGAAACUAUCCGUUCAGGAUCUGCCCUUUGUGUUGAUAUCUUUCAAGUUUGGUGUUGUGAUUUGAGACAUCAAAGAUCUCCAAAAAUAAUUAUCAUGUUCACAUAACUCACACUCUCAGAGUUUUUCCUAAUUUAUUCUUUUUCCCGGUUUUUCCCGCUUCAUUUACUUUUUGUUAUUCCAAUUAUAUCCUUAAACACGUGCAACAUCCUUUAAAAAAAAUCUUAUAUCUUAAGUUGAAAAUAGUAAUGAUAAGAGUUAAAGGAACUCUUACCAAAUAUUACUUUUAAUACAUGAUAGAAAAACUCAAAUAAGAAGAACUAAACUACUUAUAGGACAAAAUUAUUAUCAGUUAAAGUGACAUUAAUAAUCAUUUUACAACCCGUCUUCGAAAGAUUUGAACCCUAUGCAGACACCAACUAACCACACAUGUAUUUGGACAACAAGAAACAAAAUUUCUCUUGCAUUUAACAAUAAUCAAAUGAAUUUCCAAACAGAAACAGAGUUAAUUGGUGUUCCUUUCCAUCCAACAAGAAGACAAUGACCAUUCAUAUCAAAUGUGCAAGAAAUUCCACAGGGAAAUCUUUUAGCCAUCAAUUCAGCUUGAUACAAAGACAUCAUGCUCAAUUCUGUUUCCACCAUUCCAAAUCUUGCGAAAAAUGCUCUCCACACAUCAAUCUUCACAUUUCUACUCUUUCUUUCAGCUCCUUCUUCAGCCACCAUAUUCCUAAUUCCAUGACCAAAAUACUUUGAUUCUAAAAUCAUUCUGUUCUCAUCAUCUUUCAUACAAUCCUCAAAACAAUCGAAAAAUGCACUGAAGUAAAAAAGUGCUUCGAUGAAACGGUUCACAAAUGAUUUAGAAUUGUGAUUAGCUUCAAUCUCGGCCACAACCAUUACUUUAGGGUUUAUGGUUCUAACUACUCUCAUGAUUGUUUCAAGUUGGUCUGAUUGUUGAAUCUUGCUUUGAAGCGCAAACUGAGAGUAAACCGCAACGGUUUCCUCAGAGUCUAUCUUGAAAAGAUCUUCUCUUAAAUGUAAUAAAUCAGAUACAAUAAUUGUAUCGAAUAAGAAAGGUAUGUUCAAAUAUCGCGCAAAAUCCUUCAAUCUUUUACCAGUGUCUUCAACUAUAUUCUUCAAAGUCUCUAUGUUUCCAGUCACAAUAGCUGUUAUCUUUAGAAGCUCAACGGGACAUUUGUUUCUCGAUUGAAGUGCUUGCAUUAGGAUUGUCCAUUGUAACCCUUUUCGGAUUUCGAGAUCAAUAACAUGAAUCUUCUUAGCAUUAGUUACAUUUUCUAUUAAAGUUUGUACACAUGUGAACAUGGAAAUUUUACAAAAUGGAAGAUCUUGAAAAAACGCGACAAGGGCUGGAUUUAGAUCCUUGGUUACCUCUUGAGGAUCAAAUAAAGGUCCCAUCUUUUUCAUAUUGUUUGUCGAAACAGAAACUCUUCCCGUUUCUUUGUCGAUUCUUUGUCGAAGAGCUUCGGCAAAAUAAUGAACCACGCGCUUAACUGGGUUACCUGUCUUCGAAGAUAAAGACUCAAUUUGUAAUAACAAUUUUCUAGCGCGUUCAUAUUGUUGAUAUCCAACUUUCUCAGCACAAGCUAAGAGUGAUUCAGCAAGUGAAACAUCUUCUUUCUCUUCAUCAGAUAAACCAGAGAAAGAAAAACCAAAAGGGUGAUCAAGAAUCAAACCUGAUGCAGAUUCCGACAAAGAUGAUGAUUGUAUGAACCUUGUUCCAGCUAUCUUCAUGAUAUCUUCAGUUGACAGCUUACUCUCAUUUUCAGGAUGAUGGAUUUUUCCUUCAUCAGGUGAUAACCUCUUAAAUCCUUUGCCAUAAUUCUUCAAUAUCUCAAUUGGUGGAGUUUGGUAGAAUUGUUGAUCUUUUUUUGUGUCACAAAGUGGAGGGUUUUUUGUUGGACAUUGUUGUUCAUCAAAUUGAACCAUGUCAAAGUGUAGAUUAUCAAAAGAUUCGUAAUCUUGAUAUGGUUGUUGAUGAUACUUUUGUUGAUCAGUGGAAAGAAGAAGCUCAUCUUCUUGUGAUGGAUCAUCUUGAAAGAAACCAAAAUUAGAGCAAAGAGACUCAAUUCCAUUGUAGUCUCCUAGAUCUUCUUCUACAGAAAAUUUAACAUUUUUCAUUUCACUAAGUUUGUUGGUUUCCCAAAAAAUAUCAUUGGAUGAACUAAGUUUAUCCUCAACUAUAUUGAAACUCAAGUCACCAAAAUUGCACAAGUUUUCCAUCACCAAUUGAAACUAAUUUUUUCUUUCAGUGUAAUUAGUUUCAAACUAAUUAUGUUCUUAAUUAUGAACCACAUUCUCUAUAUAUAACAAGAUUAUUAUUACUACUACUACUACUAUUAUUAUUAUUAUUAUUAUUAUUAUUAUUAUUAUUAUUAAUUAGUUGUCAUACUUUGUUUUUUCUUUUUAAUAUCUAUACAAACCUUUGUUGAUUAACUGAAUUAAAAUAUAGUUUGUGCUUAGUUUAAUGUGAAAUUGACUAGUUCUAACACUAAAUCCGUCUACUAGAGUUAACUAGGAUGUUUUUCUUUGCAAAGAUUUAACAUUGAUGUUGUCACCAUAACAAUAAUGAUUUGAUAUGAUCAAGGUGGCCAGGAUACAAAUGGCCAUUAAAAUUGAUAAUAAUUCAAAAACUAUAUCAUAUACGAAAAAUAAAAUAAAAGGUAUGAUUUAGACAAGUAUUCUUGUUUUUUGAAAUUGUCAAGUAGGCAUAAGCCAGCAAAGCGUAAGGGAUGACCGGAAACUAAAUAUGGCGUGUGACUUAUCUAUAAGAAUUACCUGAUUUAAGCCAUUUAGGGUUGGGUUAGUGGUUCGUUUGAGAUUUAGGAGUGUGUUUAUCUCAAGGUUUCGGGUUUGAUUCCCCUGAUGUCAAUUUUGGUGGGUAAGUCCAUACGGAAUCCCGCAAGUGGGCGGUGAGAUUGGUCCUCUCAGAUUAUUCGGUUUUUGGGUCGGAUACCGAGUUUUUAAAAAUAAAAAAAUAAAAAGAUUUCCGUAUUUUAAAAUUUGAACUUCAUUUUGUUUAGGGAAUUUUUUUUUUUUUUUUUAUAAGUUUAAGCAAAUGUUUUUUUAAAGAAGGUAAACUGACCCUCUCAAAUUGGCAUUAGAGAGAAUCGAGUUUAAGCAAAUGUUAUUAAUCCCUCCUCAUUUUAUUUUUGUUACCUCCCAAUCUAAUGCUAGUAACUUAAAAAAAAAAUAACAUAUAUACAAUACCAAUUUAAAACUAGUAACAUAAAACAACAAAAUAUCGGGGUACAUAAACCUAACUUAGUUAAACCACAUAAUCAACCCAACGGGUAUUCAGACAGUUUACGUAUAAUAAAAAAAAUGUAGACUAAAAUAAUCGAAGCAAACACACACCAUCCACUACUCAACAAACUCGCGUACAUGCAUAAAACCAAGCAGAGGUUUGAAAGGAAGAUGCUUUUUGGAUCCUCGGCGCACGAGUCUACAUUAGAAGGAAGAUGUUUUAUCAUUUUAUUGAUGUUGAUAUUUUCACAUCUCCAUAUCGUAUACAACAUCAUUUAAAACACAUCACAUCAUCAAUUUUUAGUAUAAAAAUAUGAUGGUGGGACCAAAACAGCCAAAACUUAAAAUAGGGGACCAAUUUUACAAAAUGAUGAGAAUAGAAUGACUAAAAUUGCAAUUAAAUCAACCAAAAAAUAUAGAGCCUUGCUAUAUGGUACGAGAGAAUCGGCGCACGAACUGCACGACGUGUUGAUCUACAUGUGAGAUUCUCUCUUAAUGGAUACUAGCUUAUAAUUUUUUCAAUAUAAAAGACAAAAGAAGAUAAAAUAAACACUUAACAGUGGAAACAUCCUUGAAUUGUGUACUCCGAUAUAUAUCCAUUUUUGACACAUCAUUGAAGAGGUAACUCAAAGCUAGAGUGAUAUAUAUGAAAAAGCACCGCUACAAGAAAAAGGUGCAUGUAAUUUCUCAAAUUCUUAUAAACAAACAUAUAUGUGAUACUAACAUGAAGUAAAAUGACAAUAAAAACACAAAUGACAAUAAAAAAAAAAGUCAUUCGUGCGUUUGCGACAAAAAUACGUUGUGCAGUUAAGCUUUUCCCAAAAAUAUAUUGUCUAUCAUUGCUUGAGUUUGUCGGUGUCAUUUCUACUAAGAUGUUGUACUCAAUUGCAUUUUCUUGCAUGAUGUCUGCGAAGGAAGAUAAUGCCACUUGAAAUCUAGAAAGGCGUCGUCAUUUGUUGAAAUUUAUAUAUAGUCAUCCUAAGAUAAUUAUUGUUGCCAGAAUUUCACUAACACUACUGCUAUACCAUGUCAUUAUCACAUCUAAAAAAAAUGUAAGAGGAAGAUGUAUGUUGGAUUGAAAAGUCAAAGAUCUAAAAUCUAAGGAUGGAAAAGAGGUUAAAUAAAAAAAAAAAAGUAUUGAAAACAGUCAUGGAGACAUGUGAAGCUAUAAUGGAGUUUGAUUAUGUAGAAGCAUAUCUUGAUUAUGUAGAAGCAUAUCUUGAUUCUCUAAGUUUGUUCAAAACUAUAUGUGCAAACUUUCCAAAAUCUUUGGAAUAUGUUGGAGGUAUUAUAUUGGGGCCAAUGAGGAGAAACUAGUAAGGGCUUAGAUUGACCGCAUUAUGCAUAUUGAAAAUACAACAACAAACAAGGUCGAUUAUGCCCACAAUAAGUAAAAAAAGUAUAAAGGGAUACUUGAGGUAAUAUAUGUAAAAAUUGAGCUCUAACUAAUAACUUAAUAAUUUUGUAGCAAAUCGAGAUACAAACCUCAUUUCAGUAGAGCAUGAUUUUAAUGAAACACAUAUUUAAAGGAUAUAUGUUGUAGUAAAAGUUGGUUGAAAAUAAUAUAUCAUGAGCACAUUGCAUUUGAUUGUGGAUGGGGCAAAUCGAGUAGAGAGUUGUGCUAUGGAUAAAUUCAAAUUUGGUUGCUUAAUUAGGACAACAUACAAAUUGAUAUAUGCGUGUAUAAUUCUUAAGAAUAUGUUGCACGAUAAAACCAUUCGUUUGUAUGAUAUUCACACUUAUUGAAAGAGGUUGCAUUUCAACGAUGUUUGUGUAUUUAAGGAAGAUCGUUCAUACUAUCCCUUCUUUCUAAAUUGGAGGAGAUUCAAGUCCGUAUAUACUUUGUCUCUCUUUAUAUACAAGUCAAACUUGACUAAACAUAUUUGGAUUGUAUAACUAUAGAUUGGUUGCUGAUUUUAGGUUGUCAAAGAUAUUUUUUGAGCUCAUUCGAAUUCAUUAGUUAUAAUGAUGAUGCCUGAGACCAUUAACCUGUAUCUUUGCAUAGAAUGAUUAGUUAUAAUAAACUCAAUCAUGCUCAAGGUGAUGUGAUAGUUGUAGAUGAUGAUAUAAUAGUUGAAGAUCUUGAGAAGGAUGAAGAUAAUAAGAAAGUUGAAGAUUAUAAGAAGGUUGUAGAUGUUGUAAAAAUUUAUGAUGAUAGUCUUGAGAGUGUCGAGGAUAAUAUUGUAGAGCUCGCAAAAUAUUAGUUCAAAUGUAUAUGAUAGGAAAACUAAACAUCAUCUUUUACAUAUACAAUGAUAUUUAGAUAUAAUUACCUAUGUUUUUCGUUGGUCAAUUCAUGCAUCUGUGAUGUUGUUUAUGUCUGAUGCGUUUGGAUUCACGAAUCUGAAACACCAAAAACACACUUCAGACCAUAAUCCGAACAAGGGUAAAAUGGAUAAAUGGUAGGACACAUGAGAAGAUGGGAGGGGGUGGCAAAAAGAAUUUCACGUGAAAGAGACACCACAUUUUAGCACAAAACCUUAAGACAUUGAGUUUAUGGGUUCUCUCAUUUAUAUGUUGUUCAACUUUCUUUUUUCCAAGCAAUGCAGCCUCACAUUAUGUUCCCCCUCAAGCGAAAGCUUCUUCAUGCCGUUGUCACUUGCACCAUUGGAACAUGCCAUUUGACCAUCAUUAUUGGAAAGACUUUCAGCACAAUGAGCCGGUCAAACCCUUCGUCGAACCAUCAACUCCAAUACCACUAUUGGGUCAUUGGGGAACUUGUGGGAUCAUUCAUAUUAAUUCAAGAGCAAUCAUAUUAGUGAGACAGGCAACACAUUUUAUCCAAAAACCUUAAAAAAAAUGAGUUUAUGUACCUCUCACUUAUAUAUCGUUUAACCUUCCUUUUUUUUCCUCCAAACAAUACGAGACUUAAUUUGGCUCACACCACAACACACAACACACACAUAUAUAUAUAUAUAUAAACACAUGCAAGUAUUACUUAUAAGGAAAAAUUGGAAAUAAUAAUGAUAUGAACUAAUUACGGAUAAAGAAAAAAUAUUAUUAACUAAAGUGACACUAAUCCACAUUUGACAAAUCGUUUUCAAGAGAUUUGCACCUUGUCCUUUAAAGUUAUAGAACAUGAAACAAAAUUUCUCUUGCAUUUACCAACGAUCAAAUGAAUUUCCAAACAGAAACAGAGUUAAUUGGUGUUCCUUUCCAUCCAACAAGAAGACAAUGACCAUUCAUAUCAAAUGUGCAAGAAUUUCCACAAGGAAAUCUUUUAGCCACCAAUUCAGCUUGAUACAAAGACUUCAUACUCAAUUUUGUUUCCACCAUUCCAAAUCUAGCGAAAAAUGCUCUCCACACAUCAAUCUUUACAUCUGUACUCUUUCUUUCAACUCCUUCAGCCAAAAUAUUCCUAAUACCAUAACUGAAGUACAGUGAUUCUAUAAUCAUUCUGUUCUUCUCAUCACCUUUCAUACAAUCUUCCAAACAAUCAAAAAGCGCACUAAAGUAAAAAAGUGCUUCAAUGAAACGGUUCACAAAAGAUUUAGAAUUGUGAUUAGCUUCAGUCUCGGCUACGACCAUUACUAUAGGAUUUAUAGUUCUAACAACUUUCAUGACUGUUUCAAGUUGGUCUGAUUGUUGAAUAUUGCUUCUUAGAGCAAAUUGAGAGUAAACCGCAACGGUUUCUUCAGAAUCUUUCUUGAAAAGAUCUUCUCUUAGAUGUGACAAGUUAGAUACAAUAAUUGUAUCGAACAAAAAAGGUAUGUUCAAACUUUGUGCAAAAUCCUCCAAUUUUUUGCCGGUGUCUUCAACUAUAAGCUUUGAAGUGUAUGUGUUUCCGGUGGCAAUAGCUGUUAUCUUUAGAAGUUCAAGUGGACAUUCUGUUCUCGAUUGAAGCGCUUGCAUUAGGAUUGUCCAAUGUAACCCUUUACGAAUUUCAAGAUCAAUAACAUGAAUCUUCUUUGCAUCUUUAAGGUUUUCUAUUAAAGCUUGUACACAUGUGAACAUUGAAACUUUAACAAAUGGAAGCUCUUCGAAAAAUGCAAUAAGGGUUGGAUUUAGAUCCUUGCUAACCUCUUCAGGAUCAAAUAAAGUUUCUAUCUUUUGCGUAUUGUUAGAUGAAACUCUACCUGUUUCUUUGUCGAUUCUUUGGAAAAGUGCUUCGGCAAAAUAAUGAACCACACGCUUAACAGGAUUACCUGUCUUCGAAGAUAAAGAGCUGAUAUGUGGUAAAAAAUUUCUAGCGCGUUGAAAUUGUUGAUAUCCAACUUUUUCAGCGCAAGCCAAAAGUGAUUCAGCAAGUGAAACAUCUUCUUUCUCUUCAUCGGAGAGACCGGAGAAAGAAAAACCAAAAGGGUGAUUAAGAAUCAAACCUGAUAUAGAUUCUGAGGAAGAUGAUGAUUGUAUGAACCUUGUUCCAGCUAUCUUCAUGAUAUCUCCAGUUGACAACUUACUCUCAUUUUGAUUAUCUGUGACUAAAUCAAAAUCAUUAACAGGAUGAAGGAUUUUUCCUUCAUCAGGUGAUAACCUCUUGAAUCCUUUGCCGUAAUUCUUCAAUAUCUCCACUGGUGUUAAAGGUGAUGGUUGGUAAUAUUGAUUGUCCUUUUUUCUGUCACAAAAUGGAAGAAUUCUUGUAGGACAUUGUUGUUCAUCAAAGUGAACCAUGUCAAUGUUGAAGUUAUCAAAAGCUUCAUAAUCUAGAUAUGGUUGGUGGUGAUACUUUUGUUGAUUAGUGGAAAGAAGAAGCUCUUCUUCUUGUGAUGGAUCAUCUUCAAAGAAACCAAAAUUAGAGCAAAGAGACUCAAUUCCAUUACAGUCUCCUAGAUCUUCUGCUACAGAAAAUUUAACAUUUUUCGUUGUAUCAAAACUGAACUCACCAAAUUCCCACAAGUUUUCCAUCAUAGAUUCAAACAAAUUUUUCUUUAGUAUUAUGAGUUUCAACUAGUAUUUUCUUUAUGCACUUCAUUUUCUAUUUAACAAGAUUAACAAGAUUAUGAUUAUUGUUAUAAGUCAUUAUCAUACUUUGCUUUAUUUUAAUAUUAAUGAACCUUUGUUGAUUAAGAAUUAAGGUAUAGUUUGUGCUUAGUUUAAUGUGAAAUUAACUAGCUGUAACCGUAAAUCCGUCCAGUAGAGUUAACAUUGAUGUUGUCAUCAUAUCAUGAUAAUGGGUCGAUAUGAUAAAGGUGGCUGGGAUACAAAAGGUCAUUAAAAUUGAUAAUAAACAAAAAACUACUCAUAUAAGAAAAAAAUAACAAGGUAUAUUCAGACAAAUAUUCUUUUUUUUUUUUUUUUUGAAAUUGUCAAGAGGGCACAUAAUCCAGCAAAGAUGGCGUUAGUGAUGACAGGAAAAUAAGAUGUUGAAUUCUAAAAUUUUGAACUUAUUUUUUGGUAACAAAAGGGAAAUAAAAAUAGAAAGAAAACAAAUCGAAGAAGAUACCCUAACUAGAGUCGAACAAAUUCAACGCCUAUGACAUUAGCUAAGAGAGAAUAGAUGACAUGUCUGGGAAGACUUCAUGGAAGACAAGAAAGUUACUGUUGCACAGUACACCCUCAAGUAAAGUGUGUUGCAAAAUAACACCCAAUCUCUUGAUAGCCCAUAACAAAUUUCUAAAAUUUGAACUUGAUUUUGUUUUAGGAAAAAGUUAUCAAGUGUUUCUCAUUUUAUAUUUGUCAUCUCCCAAAUUAAUGCAAAAUACCCCUAUCCCUUAAAAACCGAAAAAUUCAACUCAUGGUCAAAUCCUUCCCCACAUUCCUUUUAUAAUUGUACUCAGACUUAAAGGGUAUCUGCAAAAAGAAUCCACUGAAAUUUUUAUAUUUAAUAUUUGAGAAAUUAUACUUCCACAUACUCUUUUUGGACAAUAAAAGGCAAAAAUCAUCAAAUUACGAACCACAUCCAGUUGCAAAGGACCAUAAUAGACAGGUGUAGUUGAUAUCCUCAACGGCUCGAACGAGCUUCUACACCAUGGACCUUGGUCUUACGACUGUUGUGAAAAGGAAUCAUUUCAAUGUCCCAGUAGCUACAAAAGGGUUUGCUAGUUUCUACUUUGGGACACACCAUUAGAGCUAGGUCUCAUUACACUUCUUCAAUUACUACAACGUUUUUCAUAAGCUUGGAUGAUUUUAUACUGGUUGCAUUUUUCUGUUCUUUUGUAGUUUAAUUAUGUACAUGUUCAAUUGACUAUUUUUUUCACCUUCAGCCGAUUAUAGUUCAAGCUGAUUAUGCUGCUAGCCUGCUACCACCUAUUACUUAUCAGCUUGAAAGGGUAACAAAGAUUAUAGUGUCAUUUGAUCAUCUUUUAAUCAAUCGAUACAAUAUUAUCUUCAGAGUAUCAUAUGUUCGCUAUCUUUUCUAUGCAUAUGACAUUUUUCCCUUUGAUCCAUGGAUUUGUUACAAGUUUACCUAAUCUCAUUUCCAAGACAAGCAAAGGUUGCAUGGGUCAGUUGAAAUAACAUUGAGUGCUUAUGCCCUGCUUGCUUAAUCAGAUAAAAUAGAUUUAAUCCGCGAUAAAUGUACUCAAAAUGCAUCAAGUCUUUCAACAUAGACUCAACAGAUUCACUCUUAAAAAAUGACCAAGAAACACAUUGUAAUAAGAAUUGCAACAUAACAUUUAUUCCAUUUCAGAACGUGAAUAAGCAGUAAUAUCAAGCUUUGGAUUGUCCUGCUUUUACCAGAUCUUCGAGUGCCUUCAAAAUCUGUGGCUCUGUCAUGCCUUCCAGUUUGAUGCCUUUCUCAACACCCAAAUCUAGUAUUAAUAUUAAAUUAUACGAUGUUAGGAUAUAUCACAAAUAGAUAAACAAAAUCAUGCAAAUGAAAAGGAUGAGCUACAAGAUAUGAUCAGAAAUGUGAACCAUCUUUGAAGAGUAAGUAUACCAAAAUUUACAGUAUGUGACUUAAUUUUCUUUAUGCAUUCAAGGCCAUCCACAAUACACAAAAUAAUCUUAAGUAAAAAUUACAACCAAAUUGACAUUAUACACAACUUCUAAUUGGGUCAAGUUUUUUUAACCAACAGUUCUUCCAACUCCAAUUUACCCAUUCAUUAGUACUUGAAGGAUAUCAAACUCCUUGCAAUUCAUACAAACAAAUGUUUGUAGAUAAAAGUCAAAAUUGAUAUAAUAUCUAAAAUUAGUUUUGGACAGACUACUCAUACUAUAAUAUUCUCAUCUCUGAAGGCGUUGCCUAGUGAGUAGGGUUGGGACACCAAAAGAACACUAAACAUGAGAUCCAGAUACUAACAAAUUUAUCUCCCUCUAACAAAUUAACCACCAAAAGAACGCUAUGAGUUAUUGGCCUUUUAACAUUGAAAUGAAUUUAAGGGAACAAUGCUGAUUACCAUAUUUCAGUGUUCUUGUAAAAAAAACAUAUUUUCAGUAUUAAAGCAUUAUGUUAACUUCCUACAAAUCCCAGUUAAGGAACUAAGGAGAAUAUGGAAUGUGAAUGCAAAUCACAUGGUAUGAAAUGCAGAGUAAAAAUGAAAUAGGUUUAAGAUGGGUGAUACCAUAUCUUGCCCACAAUUGGGGUUCAACUCCACUGCAUUCACGGAUCAAUAUGGGCAGUUUUGGGUUCAAUGUCUUCAGUUCCUUAUAAUUCUUUUCAACAAAAGCCCUGAGAUAAGACAAAAUAGUAAGAGCUCAUUAAAGAUUCAAGUAUGUAUGAAAUUUAAUAAAAAGAUUUUUAAAAAUUAAUGCUAUGAAAUUUUAGGUCCAAAGAUAGGGAAAAAUAUAUAUAUAACCUUGCAGAUGAGCUUGCAGGUGAUGACUGGCACAUCAGAAGUCGAAGCUCUUUGAUGUUCUUUGAAAGUUGUCCUCUCCAUGCCAUUGCUUUCUGAAGCACAAAGUUAUAAUAUUUGUGAGACUUUACCUCAUCUUAUGGCAAGGAAAAAAUGAUAUAAAGAUCUAAAAUUAACUAUGCAAGCAAAACUACCACCGACAUCUAGUGGCAGUAACAGUAAAGCUCAGUCUCACUACCACUAGAUGCCGUUGGUAAAAAUCAGUCUCAGUUCCCACGAUUUACCCAUCAGUUUCGCAGUUAAGGAAUUGAUCACUUCUAUAGGUUCGGUGAGAUUGAAAGUGAAAAGGGACUACAAGUGCAAAGAUGAUAAGAGUACUUUACUUAGGACAUGCCCCUUUGAAUAUUGAUCUUAUUGACUUUUACAACUCAAAAAGUGUUUACUCUGGCGCUAUAGCAUAGCAGAACAUGAACAAAUUUCUAUUGUGUGUGAUAUGCUAUUUAGUACGAAGUGUUAUGAAGUAGUGGCUAUAACGGUGCUAUAGCACGUAACGGAAAUUGAAUGUAUUGCAAUUUUCCACGAUCCGCAAUUGACAACACUGAUUCAAACUCAAAAAAGAUUUUGCUGUGUGAAAAAGAUACACUCAAGAACAACCUUUUAGAAACCUAGUGGUUUUUGAAUGGGAUUUAAGAAAAUAACAAUAAAUUGAUACCUUCUCAUUUGCAUGGUGUCAUAGUUGUAAGCUAUAACUUCCUAAGAUUGAUUUUCUUUUUUACUUCUAGUUAAUGGCUUAUUGGUCCUUCAUCUUUCUGGAAAAAAUGUUGAAAUUUUCAUCGAAGACUUAGGGCCUGUUUGGAUUGGCUUAUUUUUGAGCUUAUGCAAAACAGCUUAUGGAAAAAAAAAAAGCUUUGAUGUAUUAUUUCAUAAGCUUGUCAAAGUUGUUUAUGAAAAAACAACUUAUGAAGAGAAAAUUAUUGUUAGUGAGAAAAAAGCUUAUUUAUUUGCAUAAGCUAUUAUUCAUAAGCUCAAAAACAAUUCAAUCCAAACAGGCCCUCAUUGUGUGGAAAUUUGGACCAAUUCACCCUAAUCCACCACCUUAUCAAUUUCAAAAUAACCCCACAAAUUGCAAAAUGUUAAUCGAACUUGUUCCUUUGUCUAGGGGCCGUUUGGAUUAGGCUUAAUUUGAAAAAUAAGCAAAACAGUUUACAAAAAUGCAAUUUUCAUUAAUGAGAACAUAUAAAUCUCUCUUAAUAUAAGAAGAGAAGAUGUUGUGGAAAUCCUAUUAAUGCCCCAGCCUGGUUAAUUGACAAAUCACCAAAGUAAGGGUAAAAUCUGUCUUUAACUUACUUUAUUCAACCAAAUUACCACAAUUAACUAAGAUGAUGUCAUGUAACUACAAAUAACUAAUAGUUUAGUUCAUUUGCUCUUCAUAAAGUCAUUCCCAUUUGAUGCCAACUAAAUAAAUCCGAUUUUGGUUGACACGGAAAACGAAAAAAGUUUUCUUUUGUACAAAAAAGAUAUAAUCUAAUGUCAGAUCUACAAUCAAUUGGAGGCAAAUUUUCAAUUUCAAAUUUCAAAUACUCUUAUAUUGUCAUUCACUACUCUUUCAUAAUUUAAUACUCUCUCAUUCUCUCAACUGUCUCUCCUCUCUCAUUCUCUCUUUGACAACAAGAAGAACACGGCAGGUAUAAGAAUUCAUUUUCCUAAUAUCAUUAAUUAUUUCAUUUGUUGUUGACCUUCAUAUCAUGUAUAUUUAACAAAAACAGUCCUAACACAAUUUUAAAAUUAUAUCAACAACAAAAAAGCAAAUAUACAAAAUAUAUUCAUUAGUUAUACAAAAAAGCAAAUAAGAGAAAGAAAUGAAUAUUAUUUGAGUCAUAUUACAAGAAAAUCUAAGUGAAAUUUUUGUUAAAUCAUAACAAGUAAUAACAGAAAGUGAAUAUUGAAAGUGAAAAAAAAAAAAAAAUCUUUUGAUUUGCAAAUAAAAUUUUUAUUCAUCUGUAAAAAAAAAAAAAAAAAUCUGUUCUAUCAAAGAUUCAUUGAAAAAACAGACUUUUUUAUCGGUAGCAUCGGAACUAAAAAAGAUUCAUCUACAAAAAAAAAUUUACAUCUCUAGAAAUAAAACAAAAUCACAUCCAAUUUCAAAUUUGUAUUGUUGUUGUUGCAUGUAAUGGAAACAAAAUAUGUAAAGAUCUGGACAACAUACAAGAUUGGGAUGAAAACACGUAAGCUCUUUCCCGGCGCGGUGGUUGCAAGCUCCGGCGUGGUGGUCACCGGCGAAGGUUGUCCGUUCCGGAUAUUUUUAAAUGGGUUUUGUAGAGAAGAUGGAGGGGACUCUUUUUAUGGUGAUGGAUUUUCAAAAAUGAAGAUGGUGGAGCAAUGUAACGACCGCCGGAGAAACUGAAGGAGGGAGGAGGAGGCGACGGCUAGGGUUUGUUUGAGAAUGAGAGAGUUUUCCAGAUUUCUUUGGUGAAGAGAGAGAAAAUUAACUUUGAAAUAAAUAUGGUGUGUGUGAAAUAAAGUUAAAUGACAAAAAAGAAAAUAAAAAGAAAAUUAUAAAAAAUACUCUAGGUUUGCACGAGAUAGGGUAAAGGGAUAUCGACUUUUUUUAUUGCAAAAUUAGUGUAACAUAAUAAAAAUAAAAAUAAAUAAAUUCUUUAAAAAAUAUAUAAAAAAUAAUAAUAAUAAUUUCUUUAUCAAAUAAUAAAAAAAUAGUAGUAGUUUAUUUAACCUCUAAAAAUAUAAUUUAAUAAAUGUUAUCUUACACACACACACAUAUAUAUAUAUAUAUAUAUAUAUAUAUAUAUAUAUCUAACGAUGUGUUUUUUUACAAGAUCUAAAGACGUGUUGUUACAUUAAUUAAUGAAUAUUAAAAAAAAAAAAUAUAUUCAUAAAAACAUAAGGUAAAUAUAUUUCAUUGUUACAUAAAAAUAACGGUAAAACAUGGAUCGUUUGAUACAUACAAUAUACCAAAGAGAGUAGUAGAAAAAGAGUGAUGUGUAUAGAUUUGAAGUGAUGCAGUAACAGACGAUGUAUAAAUAGUUUAAGAGAUCAGUUUUAAAAAAGAUUGACAAAAUAUAUCAUACAAGGGUCAACUCAUCACUUCAGAAUUUUAAAAUAAUUGUUGUAAACGAGACACGUUGUCACUUCGCAAAAAUUUUAAAAAAUUAUUAUAAAGACAUGCUGAUAUAAAUUUUAAAAUAAGUAUUGAACAUAUUUUGGUAGUGGUCGGAGUUUGAACCUCGGACCUUGGAUAUAUUAUGCAUUAUCCAAACCAACUGAGUUAAGCUCACAAGGACAUAUGUAACGCCCUAGUUGUUAUUAAUUAUUUUUAAUUUAUUUUAGAGUCUUUUGUAUGAUUUUAAUAUGAAUUAUGUUGAUUGGUGUUGAUUUUUGGUGUGCUAUAUUUUAUUAUAUGAUUUAUUAUGAUAAUUAUUAAAAUAAUGUGAGAAUUAAUAUUAUUUUGAAAAUUGGGGGAGUUAAUUAGAAUUUAAUUGAAUUUAGUGGGAAUAAGGUGUAAUUAAAGGGAGUUAUAGGGAGUUAAGAAAAUAGAAAGGAAGUUAAGUUAAGAGUUAGAAAGACAGAAAACUGUCUGUACGUACAAUUGAAACUUUGGGAGGAAAACAAAGAAAACCAAGCCAAGGGGGGGAGAACAAGAGCAAGAGGGGAUCGAUUUUGCUGUAGCUUUGUUUGUGCAAUUGAAUUCAGGUAAGGGUGAGACUAUCUCUCAAUGAUAAUGGUUAUAUAAUUCUGAUUUUGGUUUAGCAUAGUUCUAGUUGAAAUUGUGAAUUGGGGGUUAGGUUUUUGGAGUAUGAUUCUUGGAUUGAAAAGUGUAGAAACCAUGGCAAUUGUGUUAAGAAUCGAUGUUCAGACUGUAGAAUAAUCAUAGGUUAAGUUUCCUAUCAAAUUUGGGGUUUGGGUGGAUGAAAAAUUGGGUUUUUGGCUGGAAACUGGCAUGUUCCCGUAGAGAUGUCUGUCGCAACUCGCCACAGCGAGUAAACUUACUCGCCUCGCGAGCUGCACUUUGACAUACAUUCUCCAUUAUUCUGGAUUUAUUGAACCAUACAUGUUGUAUAAGUUGGAGUCAUAUGGAGAAUGUAUGCAUGGUCUAGUUGUAUGUAGAUAUACACGAGUGGGUCCAUUGCAUAUGCAUAAACAGCGGAGAUGACUCAUGUCCUGGAGCACUAGUUGUUCACAGCGGUGAGGGCUUCGGUCCUGAUGAAUGCUUUAACCAUUCAAAAGCGGUGAGGGCUUCGGUCAUGUUUGGUACCACAUGCAUAUAUGCAUUUAUUGAGGAGUCUUAGUGGUGUCGUCAUGUCAUGCAUGAGUCUUUAUUGUUGAUUGUGGUUGUUAUAUUGAUGAUGAUGAUGAUGUUGUUUGAUGGUUACAUAUUUAUACAUAUAUUAUGAUGGAUUGAUUUGAUGGUGAUGUAGUUGUUGCUUUGUAAAUUAUAUAAUUAUAAUUGCAAGAUGAUUUGAUGUUAUAGGGUGUUAGAUUUAAUUGAUGAAUUAUAUAUCUAUUAUUGAUGAAAUUAAGAUGAUUAAUGAUGUUGUUAAUGAUGUGGUAUAUUUGCAAAUGCAUUAUGUGGAAUUAUAUAUGAUGUUUAAGUUGUGUUGAUUAUCAUUUGAUAAUUUUUAUAUCUUGAGAUGUCUAUGUGCUACCUGUGAUGCUGUUGAGUCUUAACUAAGAUGUAAAUGUUGGUUUAAGUUGUCUAAGUUGUAAGUUGUCGUUCCAAAGUAUUGGAGUCUUAAAUGGUUGAUGUUGUCUAAGUUGUUGAAGUCGUAGUUGAAGCUGUUGUUGGUGACUGUUUAUGUUCAGGUGUUUUGUGAGAGGUGGUGUACUCUUACGUUGUCGUUUAUAAGAGGUGAUGUACUCUUACGUUGUUAUUCUUUAAGAGGUGGUGUAUUCUUAGGUUGUCGUAUUAUAAGAGGUGGUGUACUCUCACGUAGUUGUGUUGUCAGGUUGACGUUGUCAUUGAUGAAUCGUUGAAGUUGUUGAUAAAGACAAAACAUGAAAUAUUAAUGAUGAAUAUGUUGUUGCUUAUGUUAUUAUAAGAUGAUGAAUAUGUUGUUGCUUAUGUUAUUAUAAGAUUAUGAUUAUGUUGUUGUUUAUAUUAUUAUGAGAUGAUGAUUUAAUGAAGUACUAUACGAAGAAUUACUACUAUAAAUUGGUGAAGUUUAAGUUGUUAAAUACGGUUGAUGAUUUAUAUAUUAUUAUUAUUGAUUGUGAAUCUCACCCCUUCUGCUUGAAAAUGUUGCCCUUUGUAUGAGUAACUUGCAGGUAAUAAAGAUUAGUAGGAGUGGUGACUCAAGUGUCUUAGGGCUCUGAUACGUAACGGGAUGGGAAAUUGUUGCUAUGUUUAUCAUUCCUUUAUGUGUCAAUUUUGGAGCAUGUUGUUGAAGUUUUUAUUGUCGUUGAAUUAAUUCCGCUGCAAAGUUUUAAUUAUUACGUUGUUGAAAAUUGAAGAAUAAUUAUUUAAUUAUUCCAUUUGUGAUUUUUAAGAAAAGAAAUGUAACAUUCCGUUUAAGGUGUUUUACUCUGGUUAAUUUAUGAAAUUUUUAUGUUGGGAAAACGAGGUGUUACAACAUAAGUAUUGAACAUAUGAUUUGUCAUCACUGAUAUAUAUUAUAAAAUAAUUAUUAUACAUGAGACAAGAGAUACAUUGAUAUAUAUUAUUCUCCUUCCUUCAAAAAAACAUUAUUCUCUUUUUUUUUUUUUCAAACCAUAACGUAAGUGAAAAACUAACUUAAAAAAAUAAUAGAAUUAUACACAGCAUCUGUUAUCAUUGAGUACAAAUUCAAAAUAAUUAUAACACAAAGAGACAAGUUUUAGCCGAUAUGAAUUUUAAGAUAAUUAUUAACCACAUUAUAUAUAUAUAUAUAUAUAUAUAUAUAUAUAUAUAUAUAUAUAUAUAUUUAUUAUACAUGUUGUUAUUGUUAACUUAAAAAAAACUUUAAUAAUUAUUAUUAUGGCGAAAUUGUCACUGAUACAAAUCUACUAACAUCUAAAUCUUCUAACAAUAUCUAAAAAACGAAGUCCAGCAAAAUAAAUAAAUUAGUCUACAGUUAUAAGUGGAAAUUAGUUAUACAUGACCAUUAUUUGUAAUUAAUUUUUUUAAAAAAAAAUUAGAACAUAAUAAACAAGUUGUCGCUCAUAUAAAUUUCAAAAUAAUUAUUAACCAUGUGACAUGUCAUCACUUAUAUAUAUAUAUUUAAGAAAAUCACUUAUAUAUAUUAUAAAAUAUUUUUUGAGGGAUUAUAUUGUAAAAUAUUUAUUGUACACGAAAUAAGUUGUCAUUGUUAACUUUAAGAGUUUGGUGCUAUUUUAAAUGCUUGUAUAAAUUUACUUGUCUUAAAAUAAAUAUAAAAAAAUUGUCAAAGAAAUAAGAUAUAUAGAAAAUGGUUAAAUAUAUUUUUGGUUGAAUAUAUGUACGCAUCUUUCAUACGAUCUGUCUUAAAAACUGAGACAAAAUGUAUGGACGGAUUUUUUUAAAGACUGGAGAAGAAAAGUUUCAAAAAAAUUAAAAUAGGACAAAAAACAUAUUAAAAAAAACAUGCUUAAGUUUGAUAAGAUCUGAAUAAAAAAUAAGAUACAACGAUCCUUUUCUUAUUACAUUUUAAUUUAUUUAGAUUAGAUAUUAUUCUCAUUUAUCUAUCACACAAUUUGUUUUGGAGGGUUGGGAUCACAAGCACACUCGUUAUUAAAACACACAGGAGGCUGUUGUGUUGGACAAUCAAGUUCUUUGAUAAUUUGAGGCUUGUGACAAUCUUUAUCUAUCUUACAAUAUAGUAUCCAUGCUUCAGAUUCCAUGUACAUAUCUACAAGAAAAAGAAAAUACAUAGUAGUAUUAAACAUAAGAAAAUGUUUGUAUGCAACAUUUAAAGAAGAUGAAGGAAAAAUCUUUCAAAAUGAAACUUAAAAACAUAAAAUGGUGUACAAAAAAUUCAACAAGAACCUAUUGCAAUGACAAGAAAAAAUAAGAAUGCCAAUUUGAAGAGAGAAAUUCUUGUUGUGUCCAUCGUGAAAUGUAGAAUCUUCUCACACUUCCAGUUCUUGCUUAAAAAAUAUUAUGUUGAAUAUGUUCUUUAUAACAUGUAUUUAUAUGCAAAUGGUUGGGGAUCAUUUUUUACCAUUCAACAACUUUUGUAGAUGUAUGUGAUGCGAUAAAGUGGGUCAUCUCAAUUAUUCAAAUUUUCAUAAAAGUAUUAAUUUUUUCUUUCAACGGCAAAAUUUUAUUAAUAAUCUAAAUUUUUGCACAAAACAAACAGAGAUUGGUACAACGUUGUAUAUAGAUGGAACAUCUAAAAGAAAAUUCAUACACUUUAAACAUAAAAAAAACACCAUUGAAGUUAAAUUAAAAUGCAUUAAUUGUGUAAAAAAAGUGGAGAGUUUUUGUUUAAAAGAAAAUAAAUGUGGAUGAAAAUGGUCAAAUAUCUUUUAAAAAAAGAGAAAUGAUAUUCGUACAACCACUUUCUCUCAACUUUUUGACAACUUUCUCUCUCAUACUUACAUUAUCCUCUUAUUCUCACUCUUCCUUUUUCUCUCUCCAUUGUUUUUGACCAAUGAAAAGAGAGAAAAAAUAAGUUGUCACAAAAAUUGUCUCAUAUGGUUGUUCAAAUAACACUACUCUUAAAAAAAAUGUUCAAAUCCUUAUCCAUAUUCUUUGAGAAAAAUCUACUUUCUUGGUGUUUUUAUAAGACCAUAAAACAAAAAUCAUAGAUGUUAAUUUUUUUUUUCAUCAGAGCAUAGAUAUUAAAAAAAUUGUUAAAAUAAUAAAUUUUUUUUUUUUGGCUUUCACACCAGUUUUCGACCUAUCAAAGGUAGACGACUAAUUUAGCUCAUGCGUAGAGGCAUGCGCACUGGCCAAGCGUUGUUCUCAUCUUAAAUGUGUAUGAUUAGUGUUAAAUUAUUUGUUGUGUAUAAAUACAUUUAAUGUUCGAUAAAAAAAAAAUACAUUUAAUGUUGCUUUUUCAUAUUCUAAGACAAGAGGGGGAUACUUUUGACUUCAAUAGUAAAUGAGUUAACUUACUUCAAAUCAUGACAUUUACUCCAACAUUGACAAAAUACCAAAACAACAUUUAUUGUUUUGUUAUUUUGUGGUGAUAAUUGUUGACUACAAUAGAGAAGGAAAUUAAAGUAUACCAAUCAAUUAAUAUAAACCAUUAAUCAAUAUUGAAAUUGAAAUUGAAGGUCAUGAUUUUGAGUAAGUUAACACACUAACUUCGAGAGUAAAUGUGUUAACUUACUCUAAAUAGGGGUAUAUUUUGACUACGAGAGUAAGUGUGUUAACUUACUCACUCCAAAUAUCUUUACUCCAAUAUUGACAAAAUAACAGAACAUUUAUUGUUUUGUGGUAAUAAAUGUUGACUACAAUAUAGAAUAAAAAAUAAAUACUACCAUAUCAAUUAAUCUAAGUCAUUAAUCAAUAUUGAAAUUAAAGGUCAUGAUUUGGAGUAAAUUAACACACUUACUCUCAGAGUCAAAAUAUCCCCCUCAAAAGACAAAGAGGGAUGAUAUUUUGACCACAAAAAUAAGUGUGUUAACUUACUCCAAAUCAUGACAUUUACUCAAAUAUUGACAAAAUAACAAAACAUUUAUUGUUUUAUUAUUUCGUUAUGAUAAGUGUUGACUACAAUAGAGAAUGAAACUAAAGCAUAUCAUAUCAAUUAAUCUAAGUCAUUAAUCAAUAUUGAAAUUAAAUGUCAUGAUUUGGAGUAAGGUAACACAAUUGUCUCAUAUGUUAAUUUACUCCAAAUCAUAACCUUUACUCAAAUACUGACAAAAUUAUAAACAUUUAUUGUUUUGUUUUUUUUGUGGUAAUAAGUGUUGAUUACAUUUAAUGUUGCCUUUUCAUAUUCUUAGACAAAUUGAUAGUAAUAUUAUUAAGGAAUAAAUUUGAAAAAGAUCUUAUCUUAUAAUUAAAGACGAAGAGAAGAGACUAUCAUUAUUUUUUUCUUUCUUUCAUCAAACACUACUUUUUCUUGGUGGUGAUACAAACACUAUGUUUGACCGCAUAGAAGUAGAUUGCGUAUAAUGAAUAUAAUUGGUAAAUAAUAAACAAUUUUUAAAAUAUAUAAAUAACUUUUUUUUUUUGAGAAAAAAUAUAUAAAUGACAUAUUUAUUGAAUUUGAAAGAAAAAAAUAAGAUGAAUCUGUAGCUCUAAAUUUGGCCCUCUAUAAAUUUCUAGCCAUUGAUUCUAGAUGAAGUACAAAAGGAUAAAAUAAACAUCUUAACUACUCUAUAUAAAUUUUGCAACUUAAUAAAUUGAUUAAAAUAAAACAGAAAUUUUAUUCUUACAAAAGUAAAUAGAAAGUUUUGAUUUUGUCUAGAAGUCCUAGCUCAACUGGUAAAUGUCAAAAUUGCGUCAAAAUUGCAAGACUAAACGUCAUGAUCCAAAUUCGAACCUAAAACAUCACGGUUGUGUGAGUUUUAUUUCAGUGAUUUACCACUUCAUCUAAGACAAAAAAAAAAAAAAAGAGUUUUGAUUUUAUUAAAAAAGGACAAUAUUAGUUUUCAGAUAUCGUGUUACUCUAAAAAUUGUGACAAACCUUCCCUCAUUUUGUAUUUAGUGUCCAUGUCUCAUUUACCUCAUGUUUUCAUUUUUAUUUUACCAAACAACAACUUUGGUUUCUAAAUUGUGAGAAGUUUUCUUUUUAUAUUGUUGGGUAAACAUCUGAUUUUUAGGGAAAAGACCCCAGGUAAUCUGAAGUUCGGUUGAAAAGUAAGUAUAUUUUGAUCAAAAAUUGUUCCAUAUAGGAAUCAAAUUCAGGUUCUCAUGAACAAUUUGUCCUUUGAUAGAGUUCAUUAAUCAAUUGAUCUCAAUUACAUGGUUAUAAGAAGUUGUCUUUAUAGUAUCUAAAUAUAAUGAAAUUAAAAACACAAUAACAAUGUCUCUUUUGUUAAUAGAUUUAUGGACUAAACUGACCAACAAAAAACAUUUGCAAUGACUAAAUUGACUAAACAAAACAUAGAUCCGAGGACUAAAAAGCCAAUAAAAGAUACACUCAUGGAUGUAUCAACAAUUUUCAUGUACAAAGAUUAUAGUGGCAACGUAUCUCACAUUCAAGAACCAAAAACAACGGUUUACCCUUUUCAUUUUUCUCUAAACCAUUAUACAUUCUGGAUAAGUACUCUACGAUAAAACAUGCACAUACAGAAUCGAGAGAAAGAUUAGAAUGAUUUCACACACUCACACUCUAAGUAAAAAGAUUAGAAUGAUCAAACUCUUUAUUAUUGAAUGUGAGAGAUAUCAAUUACACUUUACAUGACUCUUAUUUAUAGGACUAUACACUAGUUAGUUAUUAACUAACUAAUCACUAACCAUCAUCAUAAUAGGGUUAACACUUUAACUAACUAAACUAACACAUACUAAUUAAUUAACAUUAAAAUAUGAAUUAUACUUCAACACACCCCCUUAAUUUGGAUUCUUCUAACAUCUUAAAUUGGAACAAGAAACAUUAUUCCUGGAUCCCACUGAUGGACUUGUAUCAUAACAUCGAUAUAAUAACUCCUUUACAAACAAUGAGUUUGAUCAACCAACUUUAUUGAAGCACUCUUUGUUUUCUAACUUCGUUGCUUCUAUCUAUUGUAGAAAACAAAACUUUCUACUCCAAACCUUGCUGUAUUUUUGAUACUUCAUAAUGUUCCGCAUUUGCACUUCAUAAUAUUCUCAAAUCAUUGAACAUUUCUUCAUUAGAAAGGUUUGUCAUGAUGUAUGCAAGUUGAUCCUUUGAUAUGCUAAAUAUACUUUAAUGUCUUCUCAACACUUUCACAAUCACCAAAUUUUUGAUCUUCAUUAACAUUCUAAACUUCAUUAACAUUCUGAACUUCCUAGAAUUUCCAUUAACUUUUUGUAAUGGUCAGAACUUAAUUUUUCUGAUGCAUUGCCAUGUUUACUCACAUAGAAAAUCUUGCAUUUCAAACUUAAUACUUCAUAUUGGUUGUUACUAACCAAGAAUGAUCUUUUAUUAAUGAAACAAGCAAUUUCGACACACUUUGAUAACUUGAAUAUGUCAUCAAUUUCAUGCAUAACAACAACACCUUCUUGUGCUAACUUAGUCAUUGUUUCCUCAUCUGACUCAACAAAUUCUUUCAUAGCUGAUCUUGUAAUCCACUUGAACGUCUUUAUCACACCAUCACCAUCAUCGCUUGAAAUAAUAUCACCCAUAUCAAUUCUUUAUGCAUAAUUCGAUCUAACUCUCUUGUUAGUGAUAAAAAAAGCCCCUCUUUCUUGGAUUUUUGAACCUUCUUUGCGCAAACAUCACAACCAAGACCGAAUUCACAAGUGAGUAACAACGAAACUUCUUAACAUGAAUUCUUCAUUUAGCAUUGCGACCCCAUCACAAUUCUUCAUGGAAUCGAAAAAUACUUAAAAUUAAACAUGAAUAAGAAUAAAAUUUGGAACCUUGUUCUUCAUAAUCGGUUUCUAAAACAAUUGCUUGAUUUUCAUUCUAUUUCCCCUCCAUCUCUAAGUUUCUCUCUUUCCACAUAUAUAUUUCUUCUUUAACUCUUCGUUGAGCUUUGUUUGAAACAACUCCUCUUUGAGAUUUCCACACCUUAUUUGCACUUUUGGUAGAAGAAAUCCAAUCUGAAUUCACCUUAUCCAUACUUUUAUGGACUAAGAACAGAGCCUUCUGAUGUCUCUCCUUUGAAUUCACUUCAUCCACACUCAUGGAUCUUGAAAAGAGUCUUUUUUUUAUUAUUAUUUUUUUUAAUAUUUUUUUUAAUCUCUUUCCAUGGAUUUCUCGCAGGAAGCCUUCUCUUCCUCUUUAUACGUCUUUGGAUCUUUUCUAGCAAUCUUUGCAAACCAAAGAUUUCUUGUAUCCUCAGUACACACUUUUCCCGAUUCUUAACUUAAGAAAACUCAUUUUCAAUAGACAUUAUUGACAAUACAUGUGUCAAUAACCAAGUGUUAAUUUCCCUUGCAUAAACCAUUACCACAAAGCCUUGUUGCUCCGUUGAUAAUGAAUUGCAAUCUCUUUACGAAAGAUAUGUUUGAAACCCCAUGGAUAAUGAACCAAAUGCUCUGAUGCCGCUGAUAGAACAUGCACAUAUAGAAUUGAGAGAAAGUUAAGAAUGAUCUCACAUACUCACACUUUAGAGAGAAAACUACAAAUGAAUGAUAAAUCUCUUUAUUAUUGAAUAUGAGAGAUAUUAGAGAUAAAAUUACAUUUACAUGACUUUUAUUUAUAAAACUAUAUACUAGUUAGUUAUUAACUAACUAACCACUAACCAUAACCAUAAUUGGGUUAACAUUUUAACUAACUAAAUUAAGCCAUACUAACUAAGUAACAUUAGAAUAUGAAUUAUACUCCAACGCUCUUUUCUAUUAUCUCUCAACUAUUGCACACAAGAGACCGUGUUUUGUAAAAGCGACCGGUUCAGUUCAUAUUAAAAUAGGUAGUGAACGACAUAUAUAGGGUUGAAGAUCUAUAUAGUCACAUAGUUGUAUGUUUUCCACAAAUGACUUUGAAUUAAAUUUAUGUGCUAGCUAGUAAGGUUAGAGCAUGAUCAUUCAUGUUAUUAUAAGAAAUGGUUAAAACAACGAUCCGAUUCACACAAAUAAACAAAAAAAAAAAAAACACAAUAUUUGAUAAUAAAGUUCAACCAAUUUUAUCUUGUCUCUCGAAAAAAAAAAAGGAAAAAAAUGACACUUUUUUUUACCGAAGCAAAGUUAAUUAUUAUCGUAAAUCAAACAAUGUUCAAUACAAGAAGGAUAAGAGUAAAAAAUACGGUGACUAAACCAACAUGUCGCCCUAGCUAAAGUAUGAACAACUAUGUUCGUUUGUCUCCUGACAAACUUCACCUCAACGUUGGAAUGUAAAGAUAACUGAUAAAUAAUACUGGAAACAAUAGCUUAUAAUUCCAAAUCACCAUGGCCCGAAGACGAUAGAGCUUCCACUAGAGUAGAAGAGUCGGACUCGAAGACAACCAUGUCCCAUCUGAUCGCAUCAGCUAAGUGAAGGGCCUCGAGUGGAAAAAAAAUGACAUUUGGUAUUCUAAAAAAACUAUUUACGACAGGCACACAUGCUCUCAGCUUACUCCUAGCCCAGCAACCACCUCAAUAGGUCUCUUGUUUUUCUUAAUCCUAUUAUCAGUAACGAUAACCUCUCUACUUGGCCGAUCGACGACCAUCAAUAUUUUUUGUUAUGCAGACUUCUUUGAGUCAUCUUUCCGACUUAACCAUGUGUAGCAUUAUUUUUUUGUCGGACUCUAUUUGCGAGUUUGGAUUGGAAUAGGGAGAUAACUUUGAAUCAAAGGAAGGAGGAAAGGGAAAUGAAAGAAAGGAUGAUCUCUUAACUUGAAUAUGAGGUAACAUCACAUCAAGAAGGAGGAACUAAAAAAUUGUAUCGAAUGAAGGUUUUAGAUGUUUAGAUAAACUCUUCAAAUCUAAUAUAUAUUGUUAUAGUACUCUCAAAAUUGAAAAUAUAUUAAUGAUAACAUUUAUUUAUCAUUCUCUGCAAAAAUACUCUAUCAAAACCUAUGAAAGAUUUCUCUAUUUUUUUUCACGCUCUUCUCUCCGCAAAGCUCUCUCUUCUCCUCUAAACUCGCAAACACAACCUAAACGAUUUGUUAUCAGUGAAAAAAAACAAGAAAACCUAUGAUCUUUGCAUGGCUCUACGGAGCCCAACGUCUCAAGCGUGAUAGGAUCACAAACAAACCAGAACUUUCAUUCAAAAUAUUUAAUGUGAAAUUAAUUCUCAAAUUCAAGAAUAUAAGAAUAAAUGAGAAUAUGUCUAAAUGUAAAUAAUUGAGUUUUUUUUUCUAAAUGAGAAUAUGUCUACUAUGUAAAUAAUUCACCAUUGUUUAUCAAUUAAAAUGAUUCUUUAUGAACUUUUUUAGUUGUUGCUAGCGUGUGCGUGUUUUUUCUUCCAACUUUUGCAUUAAUCGACCUUAUCAUCUUUGUACUCGAAUAUGAAGAUAUUUGGGGUUCAAACCUCCAAUAUGCAGUAGUGGAAAAAGAAAAGGAACAAAAUAUAAAAGGAUCGAAUGACUGUAAACGUAUAAGGGGGACGUGGCUAAUUUUUUUUGUCCUUUAUUAGUUAUAGAUAGAUGGAUACAUAUAUAGGCUCUGUUUUGAUAAAAAUAGCGGAUAACUGAUAAGCUAGCGGAUAAUUUUUAGUUGAUAAACUACCUGAAGUGUUUGGUAAAAAUAGCGGUUCAACUAACUGAUAAAUGUAAAAUGACAUAAAGAGUAUUCUUAAUUCAUAAUAAAAAUUAUAUCAUUAAUUUAAGUAUUUGUAAUUUUGUAAACUAAUUUUUCUUUAAAAAAAUACUUUAAAUUUAUUAAUUUAAUAUAUCAUAUGUAUUAUAAAUUAAAUUAAAUUGUAUUCACUAAGAUUUUAUCUUAUAUUUAUUAUCAUUUAAGUGUUUCCACUUUAUAAAGAAAAUAACAUUUACCUCAAAAACAAAAAAAAGGUAGCACUAAUAGAGUAAUACUAAUAACAAAGAAUAAAGAAAAUAACACUUACCUAAAAAAAAAAAAAGUAACAUUAAUAGAAUAAUAAUAUUUUGUUUCGUAAAAAAAAAACGAAGGUAUAUAUUUUUUCAAAAAAAGAAAAGAAAAAGGCCAGCUGAUAUAUAUACAAAAAUUGGAAUAAAGGGAUAGUAGUCUUUAUUACGUAGCUUAUUAUAAAAAUUAUAAUGGAUAAAAAUACAAUUUAAAUGAAAUAAUAAGGGUAAAAUUGGAAGAAAAAGUGAGAAGCUAUAAGCUAUAAGCUCAAACGCUACUUGGAAUAGCUUCUGAAAAAUAGCUUAUAAGCUCGUGAAAUAAGCUAUAAGCUCAUGGUGAAAAAGUGUUACCAAAACAGAGCUUUUUUUGUCAAACGAGCUUAUAAGCUAUAAGCUAAAAGCUAAAAGCUAUUUUUUGGGGUUUCCCAAACAGACCCAUACUAUACGUAUAAGUGAUUUGUACACUACACAGCGCUGAAUCUAGUUCGAGACAUUGUCACUCCACGCUGCUCAAACGUUGUCUAAACGGAAAAUAUUUGGGUAACAUUUAUGUUUAGUGGAAUUAGUGAUGUUGAAACGAAAUAGAUUUUGUAGGAUGUCUCUGCAUUUUUUAUGAAAAUAAAGUAUUAAAAGAACAAUUAGAUAUACUAAUGUAUGUUCAAGUGUGGGAGACCAUAAACUAAAAUUUAAAGUAUUAAAUCAAGUUUUGGUUCUAGAAGAACAUAUACAAGAGCAUUCAAAAUUUGAGAGAAGCUGAAUUUCUAGACCAAGAUCUAAAAGAUACAAGCAUAUGAAGAAGUCAGACUUUGAAGGUCUGGAGCAUCUGAAGACUGAAGACUCUGAAGGCUAUCAGACUUCAAAGAACACGUUAGAUUUGUCGUCUUAUGAAGAAGUCACUAUCAAAUUCAGAUAGUACACUUUGUCUUCUUCUAACCACGUGCAUAUACAAACAAAGAACUUUAACGACAAUUGAAAUAAAACGGGUAAUUCCUUUUGAAGCAAAUGAACUUUGAAUGACAUUUCAACGACAUUAACCAAAUCAAAAAAUAUUCCAACGUCUCUGAUUAAGCUUCUCAAGGACUCUAAAUUAUGCGCUGACACCUCUCCAAUGUCUCUAAGAUUCUUUAUUAUAUAAAGAGCUGGAUACGUGAAGAAAGGUAGAAUCUUUGAACAUUUUGAAAGUGUCCUUACUAUGUGAAAUCAAAGCGCAUAAAACAUUUAGAUUUUUUUACAAAAUUUCGUAUCUUAUAAAUUCUAAAGUCUUAGAGUUCAACUCUGUUUUUUAUUUGAUUAUGCCUCUAAUUGUAUAUCAAGUUUAAAUCUCAAACAAUCUUUUAUUUGAUUAAGUUGCACUGUAGAAGUCUCUUACUUUUGUGCUUGAGUAUUGAAAGUCUCUUUCUUGUGUGAUUGAAUUUAAAGUCUUUUGCUUUGUGUGCUUGAACAUUUGUAAUCUUUAGUGAUUAUAGUCAAAAUCCCUUGAAAGCGCGAGGGGAUUAGACUACUCUUGGUUUCAAGAAUUCAAACACAAUAUUUUAUGUGGUAUAUAUACAAUUCAUUAAUAGUUUAUGUGGUUUACGAAACACAUAAACUUUUAUAAACCGGUGUUUUGAUUUAUUUUCACUUUACACCACAUAAUAGUAAACACUUAUCUGGUCAAAAUAAACUUUAACCUAGUUGUAAUUUACUACAACACGAGGGAAACCUAAUCUAUUUAUGAUCAAUCUGGAUGUUGCACUGGCUGAUUUAAAGGAUCAACAGAACUUCGUGGAUGGUCGUCUCAACUACGACAACGUUGCAAACUCGGAGACAUGAGUAUUGCAGAGGUUUAAAUAUAAUCAUAUUUAUAGACAUAUUUUCUCUGUCAUUUUAUGUUAUUAAUUAACAUGGAUGUUGUGAACUUGUUCACAUAUUCAUCCUUCACGUUUAUAACGACUUUGAAUUUAUAUUAUAUCGAUGUAUUCUAUCAAUUUAAAUGAAUAAAUAUCGUUUAUUUUUGUCAAAAAAAAAAGUGAGUUCAAUUUCGGUUACGCUCUUUAAGCUUUAAAACUUGUCCUAAUCCUAAACCUAAUCCUAGGGAGGCCCUAAUCCAACUAUCCUAAACUUUCUAUUAUUGAAAAAAACAAAGAUAAGGAGUGGUGGAAGGAGAUAUUUGUCACACUCUUAUUACGUACGAUCUAAUGAGUAAGCCUUACCUUGUUCGAUACGAGUCCAAAUAGAAUCUCUGGCGUGUCCAAUUUUCUGAGUGUCUACAAAGCUAUACUAUGUUGGAAUCAAUAUAUUCCCAGAUAAAGUUAUCGUAAAUGAAUCAAGUAUGGACUUUAACCCCAACAUGCAUGAUUUGAAAAAUCACACAUAUAGUAAAGAUAUUUAAGAGAAUAUUUUCCAUUAAUAAAUGGUCAAUGCUAUCCUCUUAAGUUUUGGAUAAUUAUGCAUAGAUAUUAUUCUUCCUCCAUCUAUAAAACCAGGUCGUUAAUCCUGGUAAAUGGCAUCAAAGUGAGAACGACUCAAACAAAAACCACAUUUUCUUUCUUUAAAAAAAAAAACCACAUUUUCUUAUAGACAUGGCUGAUCAAUCCAAGAGUACUUUUUUUAUUGGUGUGCCAAAGAUCAAAAUUGGUGAUGGUGAAACACAAAAAACUACUCAUCCAAGAAUGCCACCAAGUUCCUUAAUUCCUUUACCGGGAAGGAAUCGAUAUAAUAGCUACUACAGCUCCAAUAGGAGUUGGAGGCAAAUGUUCAAUAAAUUAGGGCAGAACAACGGCAACUCGAACGGGGCGAAUGAACAAUCGACUUUGAAGACUUGAAAGCUCACUCAAAAGGAAGAGUAAAACUUUAGUCAUGAAUAAUUGAUGUUGCCUUAAAUAUAGUUUAUUAUGCAUGUUGUAUAUAUUUUAAGCACGACUAGUAUUAUGACAAAACAUUAGUGUCGUUCGAUGCAUAGCCAGUCUUAUUUUGUUAGAUAAAACUUGGUUGUUGUUGACGACUUAUUUUAUAGGCUAUAGUAAAAAUAUCGUGCUCUUUGCACGAAUCUAGGGCAGACAAGGUAGAAAAAGACAUGCGAAAAUGUAUCACAUGUUAUUAUAAGAAAACUUUUCUUAAAGUAGAUAGAUAAAUAUGGUGUAUCUGUAUUUUAAGAGCUUUUCAAAUUACAAGUUGACAAUAAAAACCUGUGUUUGUUCUUGGUGUAUGUAUAUUUAUACCAGCCAGGGAUAUCCAUCCCAGUGGUAAUUAAUUUGGUUUUGCGUCACCCCUCUCUGUUGCUUGAAGGAUGAGGGUUUCAUGAUCCAAUAUUGGGUUUGCCUUACUCCAUAAGUCCCAAUUGAGGGUCUAGCCCUUAUGUUUAUUUUAAAUCUUUGAAAUAAAUUAAAAAAAACAUCGUAAUUAUUCGAUAUAUGAAAUACUAGAUGUCAUAGAUAACCCCAAAGUUAUACGUGAAAGUAAUUGAGAAUUUUUAGAUACAUGAAGUUUGGUUGGGUACCGGGCAUCUCGUAUGCAAAACUCAUUUAAAAAUUAAUUUGAAUUUAAUAAAAAAUAAUAUAAAAAUAUGAUAUGAUAUUGAAUAAUCGAAUGAUUGGUACAUAUUCAACCAAACUUUAAGGGUAUGAAUGUGUUCACCGAAAGUAAAGUUGUUUUUAUAGGAAAUAAAGUAGAUAUGUAUAUAAAAGUAAUUUUAUAAAAAAAAAAACUAGGGUAAAAUACUCAAGGGUGUCAAUGUGUUCACCAAAAGUAAAGUCAUCGAGUAUUCCAUAUAUUAUUUACCAUCUUUUAAUCAAAUAUUCAAUAUGAUUCAUAAGGCUUUAUCCUUUGAUCAACCUAUCAAGCCUACGUCUCAUGUGAAGGAAGAAAACAUUUAAAAAAAAAAACAUUCUCAAUUCGGGUUUUUAUAGAUAUCCAUAAAUAACGACAUGUGUCCACGUGAGCUUAGCUCAGUUGGUAGGACAAUGUAUAAAAUAUACAAGGUUCGAGGUUCAAAUCCCGGCCACCACAAAAAAAAAAUAACGACCUUUGUUAAGGCAAUAACAGAAAAUGCCACCACAACGUAUGUGCAGGAUACUCGUUCGUUCUUUAGAGCUUCUUAAUCUUGAUUUAAAAUUGCUUUAGAGAUCUUAAGCGGGGCUUGAUCAAUAUAGGCUUUGAGUGAAAGUGAGUGUCAAUUAUAGUUUAAAAAGUUUCUCUUUUAAAAACUACAUAACAAAUUCUUUUUGAAAUUCUUUUGACAAAAUAUUUUGGUAAAAGGAAAUUUGCUUUGAAAAUAGUUAGAAAUAAGUAAAAAGUAGUAACAAAAUGAUAAGCAGAAACACACGUUAAUUUAUACUAUUUUACUAUGAAAUUGAUAGUUAUGUACAGUGGCUUCUACUUCAAAAGGAUUUCUCCACUAUUCAAACACCGAAUACAAACUUAUAUUUAUUUGUUUUUCAUAUUUUUCUAAAAAAAAAUCUAAAUGGAAUUGAGAUUUUUUUAAAAUAAUUGAAGAACUUUUUAUGAUUGUAUUAAUUGGAUUGGAUAUGUAGUAUGGUAUCCUUAGUAGAUUCUUCCUAUUAAUAUGUGACCAACCCACCUCAUGAUAUUUUUGACACAUUACGUAAUCGGUCCACUUCACAGUACUCUAAUACCAAGUUAGAUAUUAUAAUAUGUUUAUAUUCAUUGUAUAUUUGACUUGUAAAUAUUCAUCGACAAUUAUUUGGUUUCCAAAAUAGGAUUAACAAUGGUUAUAUUAUUCAGAAAUCACAUCAAUAAAAGGCAGGGAAUUGCAUUCUUUCUAGAACAUCCAAAACAAUUCUACCACUAAUGGAGAGAGAAAUAAAGAGAGUAAAAUGAUAGAUUAUUUGACGUGUAAUUAUAAUUGAUGUGUUAAGAUAAGAGAGAUAGAGAAAAAAUGAAGGAUUAAAGAGAUGUAAUAAAGAUAAACAAAUAUAAUUGCUCUAUAAGACAUUUAUUAUUUUGUGAAUAAUGAAUUUAAUCAAUUAAACCUCUAACUGAUGUUAUGUUAUGUCAUGUCACAUGAUUAUCAUACACACCAUCUGCUCACCGUUUGAUUAUAUUUUUUUUACAAUUAAAAUAACUCAACUUAGCUUACUCUUCAAGUUAACAGGGUCCUACAUAUUAUUCCUUAAGCAAGUCAUAUACAUAUAUUCUAUAUAUAGAUGGGUGCAACAUCUCCUACCAAGGCAUCUAAAACUUGAGCCCUUCCAAGCUAACUAGUUAACAAUGGCAUCAUUGAUGCAAUUGCUGAACCUCCUUGAUGAGGAUCAUGUGGAAGAACCACAACCUCGACAACCACGACGACGCAACCGCAAUGGUUCCAGUGCCGUUGCUCGUCGCCAAAAGCCACCUCCCGACACUUUCUCCAACGGGGGCACCCAAAACAUGGAGGGUCUUAUUAACAACACCGGUUAUGUUCAUGGAAAUGGCAACGGAAGCAUCAUCUUUGGUGGCUUUGAUUCCUCUACAAUGAAUUUUGAUUAAUUUGUUGUAUAAGUGGUUCUUCCUAUUAUCACAUAUUGCACUAUAUAAUACGUCUUAUAUACUAUUGUAAGAACUUGAGCAAUAUGACUCUUGUAUGAUAAUUGUAUUAUAUUUUUUGUCUCUAAUGUGAGAACUAAUGUUGCUGAGCAAAGAGUUUGAACCGUGGUCAAAGAACAUAUGAAACCAUCAUUUUAAAUAAUUUUAACCAACUGAACUUUCAUAAUACCCGUAUUAAUCUCUAAAAGAGUAUUAUUAGUCAGCUUAGUCCUCUUCGUAUUAGCAAAAAGAGAAGAAAAAAAAAAGCUUCGUACUCUUUUUCUUUUUUGGGGGAAAAGCUUGGUUCUUUUGAUUUUUUUUUUUGUAAGGUUUCUUGAUUUUUUUUUGGUCUAAGGUCCUCUUGAAUAUUAUCAUUUUAAACAUACAUCAAAUUAUAUCUCAACAUGAAUAUAUAUAUAUAUAUAUAUAUAUAUAUAUAUAUAUAUAUAUAUAGUUACAGUAAUAAUAUUAAGACAAAUCGAACAACAUCUUAGAUACUAAUAUUUAUAUUUAUAUAUCAGUUAAAAAAUAUGGUCAAAGUAAGUUAUAUAAACAGUGCACAUGGUAAGAAUGUAACAUGUAUUUUGGAAUAGAAAUAGUAUUAUUUUUCCUUACAAAAUCAAGUUGGAAUGAAUUUUUAUCUCAACAACUUUAGAAACUAAUUUAACCUCUGUAUAUAACCAUUUUCUAUAAGCAAUUUUUUUUUUUUUUAGAGUACGAUGUAUAUAAAAAUUAAACAAUUUCAAACGCUUUGAAUACAUAGUAAUGAAUUGUUUGUUAUACCGUCCCAAAAAAAAAAAUAAAAUAGAAGCAUAAACUUAUUAGACUUGUUAAAAAACUAAGUCUUAAAGAUUAAUAGACCACAUCUUUUUUUGACAAUAGAAAACUAAUAUCAUACCACUAAUUAAAAACACGCAAUACAUAUCCAGUAAAUAUAGCUCAGUUGAUAGCUAAUAUGAAUCAUUUGUGUAGGGGUAGGGGUUCGAACGCAAUACAUUGUAAAAAAAAAAAAAACACGCAAUUCAAAUGAUAAUUAAUCUCAUCACUAUUUCAUUUUUAGUAUUGAAAAGAGAGAGUCCAGACAUUUUUCACAUACAUAAAUAUGCUAAGAUGUAAAAUUGUGAAUAUUAAAUAUGUGUGUGUAUGGCUGGCCUUAAUUGUGUGACCACACCAGAACAUGUUCGUAUUCGUAAUCUAUGUGGCAUGACAUCCUUGUAACAAAUAAUUUUAGGAUCGUCUCUGAGCUCUUGUUCCAACCUCUUUUGUCUUCUUUUUUCAGUCUUAACUUAGGGUUGCUUUGUCCUUAGGACGACUCAAAAUGCAGGAAUCCUAGUUGUCUUAAAUAAUUUUGCAGGAAUUUAUUCAAUUUAUUUCCCAUAUGCAUUAUCAUCCCUAAGGAAUCCGUAUCAGUAUUUUUUUUUUUCUCAUGCAUAACUUUGCAUUAAUUCCUUGGAUAAAGAGUAUGAAGUACGUAACUUAAAGCAAAUUAUUUACUAUUUAUGACAUGAACUUCAAACCAUUUAUUAUUCUCAUUACAGAAGCACAAUCAUUGUUCUUUUUUCUUUGUUUGUAACUAACAAUUAUUCGUUUAUAUCAGUUGAUAAUUGACAUAUAAGCAACCAGUCUAAUCUAACGAUAAUAUGAUAUACGUAACCCGCCCACUUCAUGGAAUUUUGACUUCGUUAUGCAAGCAUCCCACUUCGCAUGCCAUGUUGACACAAGAAUCUAGAGAUAUAUUGCACCACACAACAGUCCAAAACUCGAUAUAUUUUUCUUCUUAUAUUUAAGUUAAGUUUUAUCCAAGGCAAACCAAAAAUGUUGUUUAUUUAUUGGCAAUUUCUAUGGUACACUCGAUAAUUUUGAGUGUACCGGUACAUCCGUGUAUUUAAAUGAAUAGUUUAAUGAUUUAUUUAUUUAGAAAAAAAUAUUUUCUAUCAUUUAUAAUUAUAAUAAUUUUAUUUUAUUUUUCAAAAGUGUCGGCAAAGCAAAAUUCAAAAUUUUUUAAUUUUUAUUACUCAUAAUAGUGAAUAUUGAUUAUUUUUUUAAUAAAAUGUUAAAAAAUUUAGUAUAAUUCUUUAUAAAAAAUGAAAUGAUGUUUUUUUUUUAUGGGAUAAUAUUUUCUAAAAUAUAAAAGUCGAUAAAUAUCUCUUUAUCACAUAAAAAUUAUCUUUAACUUAUAUAUUUAUGAAAUAGGUGUACUGGUACACCUUAAUUGAAGGAUGUACCGUAGAAACUCCCUUAUUUAUUAGCUAAAGCAACAUUGUCUUGUGUUAGUUACCGCACUUUUGAUUAUAUUCAAUGUGUAUUAUGGUUCAUUUGAUAAAGGAAAUGGGUUAUUAAUUAUAUUAUAUAUAUAUAUAUAUAUAUAUAUAUAUAUAUAAAAGUUUAUAGGUGAUGACAACUCAAACUUAAUCUUGCUCAAAAAAAAAAAAAAAAAACUCAAACUUAAUCUAUUAACUGGGAGAGUCGUAUGACUUGAAGGCUUAAUUAAAAAUAUGUUGGAUUUAUUUGAUUUGAUUUAUUUGAGUUUAUUUAUUGAUAUAAUUUUUGUUAGAGUGUCGAACUUAUGUGAAAACAACUUAAGAAAUUUUUCAUACGUCGUUUUCAACUUAUUUUCAUAAGAUUCAAUAAAACGAACUUAUUUUUAUAGGAAAGUCUUAUAUAUCUAUAUUUUUUGAAGAAAAAAGUCAAAACAGAUAAAUUUCCUAAAACUUGGAUAUUUAAAAAGGAAAGUCUUUUUUUUUUCCUUUUCAAAAUGAGACAAUUAGAUAUAAAACAAAAUUGCUUUGGCAAAUGGUGCUUGGUUUUUUUACUAACAUAUAAAGACUAAAUUGUUACUCUACCAUCCCAUAUAUAUUGAUGUACUAAAUCAUUAUAAACAAUAUAUGGGUGUACUAAAUCACCCUUAUCAUAUAUUGAUGUUUUCUUUUUGACAAAUAUAUUGGUAUAUUUAUCAUUAUAAACAAUAUAGAGCAGAAGAUGUAGAUUUGAGAAACAUUCAUGUCUGCUCUAGUUUUCUAGUGAGAGAAACUUUGCCUUCUCUAUAAACUCUCUUUCUUCUUCAUUCAUCGAAGAAGGGUGGUUUUAGAUCUUUUUUUUUUUAACCUAGAAUCACCCAUCUACAUAUUUUUUUUCCACCUACUUCAAUCAAAUAAGUGGUUUUAACAUAUGAAAAAGGCUCACUUAGAAAUGUUCUUUUUAAAUAUAUGUACAUCUAAACUCAUGUUGGAGGUAGCCAUGGGAAAAGUUUUUCUCAUCAUGUUGUCAUAUCUACAAUUAUUAACCUAAUCUAUCUAUAUCUAAAUAUUGUUGUUGCACUUGCAACUUGUGAUAUUUAUUCCUAGACUUAUCGUUGAAGCACAAAUGUGGAUGAAAAGAACUUGGCGUGAGAUGCACACUUGAUAAUUAGGGAUAUAUUCUCCUAAACUUUUACCCAUCAAAACGAAUCAAACUUGUAAGUUAAUUAAAUUAAAUUAUCAAAUCAUAUAUCCUUAAUUGAACAAGUAGCAAUAGAUUCCAUCCGUUGCAUGCAUAUUUAUAAUGUUGGCUUAGUUGGUAACAUUAAGGCUAACCAAAAACAAUUAUAAGGUAGAUAGAAGUUAACUUCAAACUAAUAUUUCUAGCUAUAUCAAGAUGAGCAACCGUUUGCUUCAAAGUCUACGCAAACUUCUUGAGACUGAGGAAGGAGCUGAUGACUUUUCAACUCCAAUCAUGGCACUGCAAACUCAUUCAACAACCAUGGCAACGGGAAGCAAGAUUUCUCCCGUGCAAAGAUCAACAGUGGAGCAAACUCCGGUGACCGGAAUAGGUACCACACCGCAAACACUACGGUGGUCGCACCAUAAAUAAUAGGGGGAGCACUUUCAAUGGUCAUGGUAAUGGUAGCAUUAUUGAUGGUGACUUUAAUGCCUCCACAACAAACUACAACCAUUGAAUUAUGUAUUGAUACAUAUAUGAUGUGUAUAAUAUGAUCAUAUAUCGGACUAUAUAUGGUGUGCUAUCAAUAAUAUGCAAUAGAGCUACACCUCUAAUUGUCUGUACAUGUUGUAUUGUGUAAUGACAUGAGUGGAAGCUAGUCAAGAAUACUAGAUCCCUCGUAUAAUAUAUGGGUUAUUACUCUUGAUUAUGUUUCUCUAUUGUUUAUGAAUUUUUAAAUAGGUUCAUGAAAUAAUUGAGUUUAUAAUAUUUUAUUAAACUAGUAUUGUAGUUAAGUUUCUCCGUCAAAAACUUAAAUAAAAUUUGUAGUUAAGUCUCUAAGCCCCUAUAAAAACGUUACAUAUGUUUUAAUUGAAUACUUUAACUUUUAAAUAAAUUUGGCUUAUUUUCUUCAAUUAAUUACUAACUUUAUUCUCUAUUUUUUCUGAUAAAAAAAUUGCCAAUUGAUGUUUGUGUCUAAAAUCAUGGAUAUGAAUUCGUGAAAAAUUGUGGCCCGGAUUGGUACAAUUGUGGCACGAUUUUGGUGUUUCAGUUCGACAAAAUCGAGACACGAUUUGGCAAAAUCGGAGCCCGAUUUGACAUAUAAGGUUUG